UUUUUUUUUUUUUUUUUUUUUUUUUUUUGCUUUUGAAAUUUCAUGUUGGUUAAAUUUUAUAGCGUUCUUGAUUGCCGGAAGUAUGGAAAAAGCUGAAAGAAGAAACAAGACAAGCCACAUACAAAUGAGCUAAACAACAUUUGCCGUUAGAUUAAAUGGACGUACAACAGCAGAAAAGCUGGCCCAUACAUUACGGAAUUGACAAAUCAAGUACAAUUAAAAAAUUUCAAUAAUCUACAAACUAGGCUAUUGGGUCUUGAGAUUUUGGAGAUGAGAUCAGUACCUGGCCAGAGGAAGUGGGGAAGGGUAUGCCAUGCCAUGUAUGCCUGAGCAAUUGUGGACGAACUCGAACAGCUAGAAGUAAUAGCAGAAUUGCAAUGGCAGCAUCAACAAGACGGCAUGUGACACACAUGGAUGGGGCCUUGAACUGUUUCAAGAAAGGUAAACAAGCGCUACAAUAUUCAAUCAUUAGGCAGCCCCCAGCUGCAUUCAACUCCUUUUUUUGGGUCUAAAAGAUUUUGCAGCAGCUUCUUGCUAUCAUAUUUGUUAAAUCAUCCCCCAUUAAUUAACACAGAGAUUAAAAAAGAAAAUUCAACAUAAACCCCUUCUAUUAUUAACCGAAGGAAAACAAAUUAUUUGUGGCUGAAGUUUUACUGUGGCCAAACUUACAUCAAAACUAGGGUAUUGAAGGUUUCACACUGUUGAAAAACACAAAUUGAAACCCUUUGGUUCAAAAAGAAAAUGGUAUUUUCUAUUUCUGAUUGUUUUUUCCUGUUCAAAAAAGCAGUGAAAGAAAUUAAAGAUGUGCUGACAACUAACGCCAAAAAAAAAAAAAAAGUUAAAGAAGUAGUGGUGUAACUGCAAAACGUCAAACGGAUAACAUGGGCAAUUAAUUUUUCCUGUUUUCUUAUUUGUGGAUACAAUUUUAGUUGCUAAUACACCAAUAAGGACAAGGUACCAUUCUUUCUUAAUGAGUCCUUUUUUCCUACUUCUAUUAAUUAUAUAAGCAUCUCUUAGAACUUCUUUUCUUAUUACUUUUCUUCCACCAAUUCAGUGAACGGCUAAUACACGUACUAGUCUGAAUUUUGCUCUACAUUUAUUAUUUUCUUUCAGCCUUUCGUUUUCCAUAGCCUUUUUUAUGUUCGACCAUUUCUUCAUUGUCACGUCCAAAUGUAAGCGUUUGAUUCCUAUGACCCGUUUCCCUUGUUAUAUUCACAAGAACAGAAAAAGAGAGCAAAUUAGUAUGUACUCCCACAAACAUCAAUGAGAUUGUCAUAUAUAUAUUUACCACUAAUGGUAAAAAGGCACAUCCAGAAUCUCAACUGUAUUUUUAACAUGUUUGGUUACUAACUCAAAAUUAGCAUUUGUGGUGCUCAAGUCAAACACAAAAAUGAACAUUGACUAAAAUGCUAUUUAAAUAAUCCCAUAUUAUUGAAGCUAAGUACUUUUCUCCAAUCGAGAUAACACUUCCAUUUUGUCAAAGCUUGUGGCAAACAGGAUUUACAUGGGGCAUUAAAGAUCUUAAGAUCUGUUUGGUUCUUUCGUAAAAUGAGAAUUCAUAUGUAUGUCAUCGUUGUUAUAUUUACUUGACUCCAAUAUUUCAAGGUAUUUGUAAGAAUUGGACAGCUGAGAGCUAUAAAGUUUUGUUGACUCCUUGUGUUCAACUAACCGACUAAGGACCAGACUGAAUUAAAAGUUAGAAUUCAAUUCUGCACCUCCAAAGGAAAUAAACUGAAGUUAUUAUUUGACGUCAAAAGAAAUAGAUUAUUGACCAAAAAAAAAGUUAGGUGGUUCUUGAGCAUUAUAAAAGUUUGAAUUUUAUAGAUACCAUGCUUGCGUAACUAGGGCUGUUUCUCUUUGAUGCUUGGCCAACUGGUACGCAGUUACUAGUUUGCAUGAUUGACGAGGACGUGAUUGAUCAUUGAUUUAUACUGAGAAAAUUUACCAACAUUUUUUAACAAAAAAAAAAAUAUUUUUUAGAUUAAGACAGAUUGUUAGGAGAAUAAGAGGUUUAUCCACAAAGGAAAGAUGUGAAUCUUGAUGUCUAUGUAUAAAGAUUUUUCAAAGGAGAUAAGGCCCUGGAUGUUGGAUAAAUUUCAACCGAUCACACAGCACAUUGCAGUUUAUGCAUCGAUUGAAAGCUAAAGAGGCCAUUGUCGACAGCAUUUCAUGGCAAUGCCAAAGUUCCGUCCAGAUAACAUAUCUAAUGGUUCCCACAUGUAAUUUUCUUGGGCUACAUGAAUUGAGAUACACGAGAUAUAGAGCCAUGAAUAUUUAUCAAGAGGAAGAGAUGGACAAAUAAAAUCUUUUUGGUUAAAUAAUUUGCAGGCGAAACAAAAUGUGGAUAAUAUUUUGGUUUAUGAGCAAAAUAUUUCUGGCAGGAAAUAUAUACCACAAUAUUUAUAAUAUCAGAAAAUCUUAAUUGCAAAGGAGACCUCGGAUUAAUGGCUAAUCAAUUAAGAUCUCAAGAUUUAGAGGUUCUGAAUUCUAAUGCUCUUCUCUCCCUCCCCAUUUCUUGAACCCCACUCUUUUCUUGUCAGCCAAAUUUUUUUUUUUUUUUAAAAAAAAACUUAGUAGAAAAAUAUUCAGGUCAUUCUUACAAGUAGAAAUACAUAGAGAGGAAGAGUAUUGGAAGCAAAAACAAAGGACGGUCACAACUAACUACCACACCUUAAAAACUUAGGACAGCAGCCUCAUAUAUGAAAGCAACUCUACCAUGAAUCCCAGUACUAAGCUCGAUAUCCAUUAUCCAGAGAACUAAUCUAGGAUAGCUACGCACGUGCGUUCCCAUUAAACGACGACCCCUCGAGGUCGAGGGAGAAACCUCCUUUCAAUUUUUCUCUUGUCAAUAAAUAGUUGAGAAGCAGUAGUAUUAUCAAUUUCACAUAGUAUACACAGAAGUAGAAAGAGACGCCAACUGACCGCCUGUAUGCAAUGAUGCAAGCUACUACUGAUCAUGAUUAUGUUGAAUCAUGUGUCUUAUUAACAGUGUUCUUAUAUAUAUUUUUUUUUUAUUUCUAAUUAACAGUUGAGUAACAACUCUUGAUUCAAAUGCUUUUCCCGAAGAUAAAUUAUCUUAUUUAGUUCUUCAACUAUUUGGCCGAUUUACGAUUGCAAUAUCUCCAUCGACUCCACAAACUCUGGUGUCGAAAAAGCUACUGAAUUUUUUUGUUCGGUGUUUCACUUUUUGAACUAAGAUACUACUACUUUUCUCUCGUUUCACCAUAUUCGCAUAGACUUCUAGAACACUAAAGACAUUAUUAUAAGCUACAGCUCAAGUCAGUUAAAGUAUUUUUUUUUUUUUUUUACAAAUCAGUUAAAGUAUUUUAAGACUGCUUGAUCUAACUGUUUCCGUUUAAGCGUAAUGUAUUUGUUAAUGCAUGUAUACCUAUUUGUUUAUUAUGCAAGAGGGAGGUCGUUCUCUAUUCAUUUUACUGCAUGAUCUUAAAGAAGAACAAGAAGUGGGGAAACGCAAAUGUCACCAUGAAACGUCUUUUCUUGACAAGAACAAUGGUAGUUUGCAUGAUGAAUAUAUACCAGCCCUUAUGGACUGUAACCUUAAGCAAAGAAAUGAUAAUAAUAUCUUCACCAAGAAAAUAAUCCAAUCAACCCCGUUUACGAUUAGACAUUUUUAGUUAAAAAGAAAUAGUUUUCACUACCUGAAAGGUAGCGUCCUAUUACAGAAAACAUGAGGUCGUUCUUUAAGAUUGACACCGCAAACAGAUAUUCGUGACUAUGAAAAAAAGGGCUUGAUCACAGGCUAAAAAUAAAGGUAUUGAUCAUAAAUUUAAGAUAGAGGAGAUUCGUGGUGGUACUCAGCUUACUUUAUACACAACUAGAUAGAUAAAAUUUAACAGUCAGUUUUUCCUGUGUUGCAGACUUCACUUUAAAAAAAAAAAAAAAGAAAUGAAAAGAAAAAAAAGAAAACGCAAAAGGAAACUGUGCCUGAUGUUGCAGCUAUAACACUCUAUUUUUGACCUAGUGAAAUGGUCGUGAUGCUGAAGAAGAUGGUUAUGGAUAAAAUCAAAGAAGCAACCUCAAUUAGUGGUGGAUUUGUGAAUGAAUGAGACCCUUAGAUACUGCCUGCCACUGAGCUUACCAAGCAUGUCGAGCGCUCAUACGUCAAUCCACCACUGAUAGUAAUAAUGCUACGCAAUAAACCAUUCCUUUGCCGACGGUAUACACCACAAAAAAUGUGCUUUUAGGUGACAUCUCCCAAAACUCACGGGCUUCCACUCAUGCAUUCGUCUGGGAUUGGAUGAGUUGACAUGUACUAAGAGAAAGAAGAAAUGAACUUUUUAAUCUUUUCUGUUAUUACAUGUUUUGAGGUCAAAACGAUUUGGCAUGAGCAGGGAUUACCAAUUCUUAGCAUCCACAACUGGAUAUAGAAAUAGAGUAUGGGGGCCUCGUGGGAUUUCUACCAAACAGAAGCAAGGCCACAACUAACAUCCACAAAACCACAUGCAUGCUGACAAUCUAAGACAGCACCAACUUGUGGAACUCAACAAAAACAACUGGAAAAAUGUUAUGAUCCGUAUCAAGAACCUAACUAUCCAUGCACGUGUGCCUCAUUAAAUAUUGACCCCUCAAGAAAAAGACCCUUCUCUGCCUCACUAAUGAAUAAUUGAGCAGUACCGUUUCAGUCUGCACCUUACUAGGUGUCCUUGGUUCUCUUCUUCUUUUCUUUUUUUUUUUUGUCGAUACGAUAGCUUCCUAUAUUUUAUGGGGAGGGGCGGUCUGAAGAGGUUCUGGGAUAACUCAGAGGGGACUGAACUACCAUCAGACCAGACGAGUGCACUACACACCCGCCGGAAUUUUUUAAACAAGGUCACAUUUAAUUGUGACAAAUUGGUAGGAGGCAAGCCUUAAUGCAUUGGUGGUGGCCGGCAGCCUUUGGGCUGCUGGUUUCCUUGGUUUUCUUCUAGAGUAACGGCCGAAAGUGAAGCGCUUGAAAAAGACAUCAACUGUCUGGAUACAAUGAUGCACCGGAUGUCAGAUAUGAAAUUGUAACAGUAAUUAAUGUACAUGUCUGGUAACAACUUCCUGAGAAUCUGAGGAAGAAAUCCAAUGUACUCGACUUUUUAUCCAAAUUUCUUCUUGGAUAGGCGAUCAUUAUCUGACUAAAGAUACCAAAAGUUUCAUGACAACAGAGUCUCCCUAAAUUGAAACUGAAUAUGGCCUCCUAAUGCAUGCAGAGGAUGUUGAUUUUACGGAACCGAACAAAGAAGAUGCAACAUCCUGGAAUCGACAAGACUCGAAAUGUGGCUAAGGUUUUACAUAUGCAACAACUUGCAACACAGUCCAAUAAGUUUCACAGCUUUCACCACAAUUACUGAUAGUUCUUAGUAAAACAUAUCAACAAGAAGGUUAACGAGCCUUUGAAUGACCUUCACAUUGAAGAGUAUGCUAGAGAUAUCAGCACAACUCGAUGUCCUAAACGCAUGAUUAAUAUUUUGACAAUAAGAAGCUUAUAACUUGAAGCUGCAUCCCAAAGUAUUCCGAUUGUUAUAGAACUGUAAUUUUUCUCAAGCUUGAAAAUUUUUUGCGCAGUCGAUUGAUACAUUUGAAAACCAUGUGCUUGGCUCCCUUAUCAUUAUCCUUUAAAUUCUCUUCGUAGCUUCUUCUUCUCUCUGAAAAUUUUCACUGCCUUUCGAAUAUCUGGCCUGCCAAUAGAUUUCCAUUAAACCUAACAUGGUUCCCAACUUUCAUGAGUGCUCACACUCCCAGCUAGCUCUCUUCUGGUACCACAAGCACAAGCUUAUCGCCAAAUGUCACUUGUGUAUUAGGAAGACCAUCUCAGCACAAGGCUUAUCCGGGGUUGUAUUGAUGCCUUUUGGAAAGAGCCGACAUGUAACAUUGCAUGUUAGCAUCAUUUUGUUUGGCAUUAACCACAGAAAAUCAUCAAUAUUCUCUUUGAUUUUCAGGGGUGUUCUUUAUUUGCCCAUGUACGUCAGAAUCCAUCCUUGUGACAUACUAUUUAGGUACUGGUAUUCAGUGCACAGUUAGGAGUGCUUAGACCAGAUUAUCUUCAAGUAUAAACCUUCAAAUCUAUAAUAUGGAGCAAUUUCAUUUCCUUCAUAUACGAGCCGCAAAUCUGUACCAUUGUAAAUAAUACUAUUAAUGAAAUUGUUAACCUAUAAGUUAUCCCAUAUGAUAUGACCAACCCACUACAGUCCUUCGCUGGCAAAGGCUAGAGCAACGUAUGCCAAUAAAGAUGGAGCAAUUAAACAAACCGUUGUUGGAAACUAAGCUAAACCUGUAUUAAUUCAUAGAUCAUCAGUCAUGUACUACAUAUGAAAGGAAAUAGGAACAGUGCUGAAAGAUGCUUUGAGACAGAGGAACUGAGAACUACAGCCUAAACCACCACAGAAACAUCACAGACAGAUACCUAAUUCUAGAAAUUCACAUCAAACCUACUUCGGUCUUCAAAAGUUAUGGUAGACGUGCAGCUCACUGCUGCACAAGUUUUCUGACAUUAGGCCCGAGCAAUCCUUUUCCUGUGACAAGAACCAAAAAAAAUAUCAUUUUUGAGUAUUUUUCAGAAUUUACAAAAUACAAAUGCAUCUACAAAAUGAAACUGUGACACUAGCUCCAACCAAAUAUCAGACAAAUAUCAGAUGAGAGAGAGCGAACGUUACAUAGACUACUAAUGGUCAACAGAAAAAUAGGAAAGCCAGAAGUUCCUUGUCAUCAUGGACAUGAAUGGAGAACAAUGGCAAGAUGUUCAAAGAUGCUCUAUAACAUGAAAAGUUACUCCACUAUAAUUCUAAAAACUCAUUGUUUACCAAGGCGAACUAGGUUAGUAGUUACAUAUCAAAGGCGCUCAGCACACCUAUUCUGUCUUAAACUCUGAAUUAAUCUGGUAACCUUUCCAGUGAAUUCUAGCAGAGUUGUUGAAUCAGAAAACAUUAAACAACAUUACAUCUUUCUUACUCGUUACCAAUAUCAAUAAAACCAAAAACAAAAAAAAAGUACUUCUACAGUAAGACAAACUUUAUAGCGUUGCUUCCGUCUGGUUUGGGCCACUUUCGUCCUUUUUUCUCCUUUCUCAUGUCUCCUAUAAACAAAAAACAAUCAUAUAUGUAUGAAUGGAAAGGAAAAAAGUAAUUCAUUCCAACUUUAAAAGGAAAGGAAAAAAGUUUUCUUCCAAUUAUUCGAUAAAAUCCAGAAACAAGUCUCAAAGAUAGGAUACAGAAAAAUGUAGCUCUAAAAGAAGAGAAAGAAUAAAAAAUUGACUGCAAACUGUUCAAUAGAUGAACCAAAUUAAAUUUCUACCUCCCCAAAGAUAAAGGCAGACGAGUUUUUCCUUAUUCUAAAGGAAACUGUUAUUAUAAAGGAAACUGAUCCAAGGCAAUCCUUGCACAAGUUCACAUUGAAAAUGUGUACCUUGCACAGAAGCAGACCAGCAACUUUGUUUAAUUACAUGCUUCAAUGUUUCUUGCUGCAGUACAGUAUGCUUAAUGAUAGUACUUCUAGGAUAAGAAUAUCCAUCUACAUGCUGGUCUGCAAUGCUGAUUCUUUUAAUCUUUUGUCCUAUAUCUCUAGUCUCCUCAGCUACAUUCUUCACUGAUUCUCCCUUUCUGCCUGUAAGUGCCAUUUCAGAGCAAGAAAUUGUUCCUGAACUAGAGAAAAUAAUUGAAAGGUCCAUACAUAACAAUAGUAAUGGCAUCAAGUUCAAAGGUUACAUCUCCACCAGCAUAAACGCAACAAACACUGGGGACACAAUCAAGGGGAAAUCAUGGACGAGAUGCAGCAGUCAAUGACAGGAAAUGCAGCAGAAAGUAUAGCACAAUAGCAGAAGUAAUGAAAGCGUAGCAAGUGUUUCAUCACCAAUUCCACACCUUAAUUGGCACAUGAUAUACUAAAAUCUUAAAAUGCCUAAAAAACCAAUUACAAUCAUAAGGGUUCAUAUAACACACUUGACUGUAUGAAGUUAUUAUUCACUUAAAGCCAAGCUUUUGGAUAAGCAGAAAGGUUGAUUCCAUUACUGGGCUUUAAACAAUGAAGUUCCUAUGGAACAAGCUUAUUCUUGUGCCAGGUUAAUUACAAAAACAUGUCUCAGUUAAGAAAUCUGCAGAAAGGUUGAUUCCAUUACUGGACUUUGAACAACGAACUUCCCACAAACAAGCUCAUUCUUGUGCCAGGUUAAGUAGAAAAAUAUGUCUCAGUUAAGAAAUCUGCAGAAAGGUUGACUCCAUUACUGGGACUUUAAACGACCAAGUCCCCACAGAGGAAGCUUAUUCCUGUGCCAGGUUAAUCAGAAAAACAUGUCUCAGUUAAAAAAUCUGCCAGUAACUUUUCCAACUGUAAAAUUUUCAGGCCUGCAUUGCAAACUUUUUUCAGAAUUCAAGCAUAGUAGAGUGCAACAAUAGAUCCACAUAAUGCAUUGGCCAACACAGCUCUCUGCGGUAUAAUACAAUGUAAUCCAACAGAAGUUGAGUAAAUUAUGAAAUUCCUGUAUUCCAACAAAUCAAUUAACAAGGUACAUCCAACACAGAAUCAUCACAAAUCAUCUUUGCACGCAAGGCAGUGGUUCAAUACUUUCCUAUUGAUGAAAAAAAUGUUCCAAACGGCAUGAAAAAGAUUUUUCCAAGGCACAGGUAGAAUCUUUAAAAGCAUGAGUCCAGCAUACCUGAUUACCAUUCUACCAAUUUCAAAUGAGACCAGCAUAUCGGUCAUAUCUUUAAAAUUUCCUUUACAAAAUUCCUACCAAUUUCAAAUAGAUAUAUCCAUCUCCGCUCAUAAUAACACCACCCCAUCCCCAACCCCACCAAAAUAGAAAGUAAUUAAAAGAAGAAAGCUAAAAAUUUGUUAUUAAAGUGUUGAAGGAUAAUAAGAGCAUCCUCAUGAGACUUCAUUGUCUAAUUGCACCCAGCUCUCCCUUCAUCCUUAACAAACUUCCUACCAAUUUCAAAUAGAUAAAUCCAUCUGUUCUUAUAAUAACACCACCCCAUCCCCAACCCCACCAAAAAAGAAAGUACUUAAAAGAAGAAAGCUAAAAAUUUGUUAUUAAAGUGUUGAAGGAUAAUAAGAGCAUCCAAUUGAGGCUUCAAUGUCUAAUUGCACCCAGCUCUCCCUUCAUACAGUCUAAUGGAUUUCCCCAAGUUGCUCCACCUUAAAGCUUUUGCAUUCCUAACACACUUUCAAAUUUGAACUCAAAACCAUACUUUGCAAGCUAACUAGCAAUUACGGAGAUGACCAAGGCACAUUUGGCAUAUGUCUAGCAUCAAUUGUUAAACUUGGGGUGUCAGGUUGUCCUGUAUACAUGGAGAUCACACUAAGUACCAACAGUACACCCUAGAAAUUAUUAAUAGUAUACACGUACCGCUUAAUAAUACAUAAUUAAAUUCACAAAGACAAGAUAACACACCAUUUUAAUUACAUCAGAACCAAAAUUACCUGUAGCAGGACUGACAGCAUGAAUUGGAGAACGAAGCCAUGGCUGAUGAGUGACCAAUGGGGCAUACAUGUAACAAUCAGACUUCAUGUAAUCCUUAACCUUUCCAAACAUAUCUUCGUUUUUCACCUCAAAGGGUUCAUAUGCCUGAAUCCCUAAUGCAACAAUAUAAUAUUUCAUUCAACCCCACAAGCCAUACUUGAAUAUAUAUAUAUAUAUAAAUUCCAGAUUAAAGAAAGAAGUAAUCAUUACUCAACUUACCUGUAGAGGUAGUACAACAUGAGUCAACAUGAUCAGAAGUCUGAGAGGAAACUAAGGGUGCAAACAUGUAAACAUCUGACUUGAGAAAUUCUAAAACUUUCUUCAGCUUAUGCAGCACUUUCUUCUUCUUGUUGUCCCAUUUUGUAAGCUUCUUGUUGUAAAUUGGAACAAAAGAAACCACUUUCUUGGCCAUAGUUUCGAUCAUAUCCAACAAUUCCAAGGAAUUUUCGAACACAAAGUUGUAGAUUACGUGAAUUUGGUGCUUAAAAGUCUAGAGAUUUGGUUUCUGUUUAUUCAGUUUCUUGCGCUUUUCUACUUCUAGGAAGUUGGGGGCGGUUAGAAACAGAUGUCAGCAAAUCCCACCAACAGGUGGCAGCACAGUUCUAAGUCCCUGAGUUCCCACUCUUUUGCUUGGAUAUUAUCCACAGACGCAUUUAUAAUUUUUUUUUAAAAUUUGCCAAAAUUACUAGUGGACCACUUAUUUUGAUUUUUAAGAGUAAAUCAAGAUAUUUGUUUUCUGCUUGUAUCUGUAAAACUUAAAAGGAAAUAUAUUCCUGUACUCGGUCGUAAUUUUUUUGUUUUUUCUAUUUUUUUGGUGGAUUAAUCUUUAAUUUGGAGACCUAAUUAGCUUUAGAUCCUGAGGUGAGCCUAAUUAAGAGGAAUUCAUGGUUGUUUCCAAUUUUUGUACGACUAAUUUUUUGCAUAUUUAUUUGAGAAUUUUGAGCAAUUGAAUAUGCAAUAAUCAUCUAAUAUUUCAAUCUUUAAAAAUUUAUUUUACCUUUUCUUAGUAAAAAAAUAUUUAAAUAAAUUUAAUUUCAAUUAUUAUCACGAGUCAGAGAACGUCCUAUUUAUUUCACUUUACUUCUUUUGACUUUGAAGUUCUCCGCCAGCAAAUCCAGAGUCCCUCCCACCGACCCAUUUAUGAUGAGUUUGCUCCAGCUCUGUCGAGGAAAAUUCCAGCCCAACAGAUUUUUUUAAUGGUUAUCCCCUGUCCUGUACCUCCACUCAAAACGAACCAUUUUCUGUUCUUUUUCUUGUAUGCUUGAGAGGAAUUUUUCCACUCCAUUUUCGUCUAUAAUGAAUUGUCAAUUUCAGGCAGGGACAAGGCAAAUUAAGGACCCUGAUAAGGUUGCCAGUUGCUGGCAGACAGAUUAGCUGGAGGGGUGCAGCAUCACAACCAUAUUUUGUUUACUAGAAAGGAUCCUUUUCUGCCAAUUCUAAUCCAGUGGAUUACUACAGAAGGAAAUUGUACAUUAAUUUGAUCGACUUCUGUUGCUACUAGUGACAAAUUAAGACAUUUAUUUAUGGCUAAUGGACACUCUACCUCUAGCAGAUGGCUCUGCAAAAGCUGUACACAAGAUGAUUAAUUCCUCUGAAGAUUAGGAAGCAGUACUUUCAUUUCUUAGUCUGAUAGCAUGGAGGGGAGGCAGCUAAAUCCACCAAAUCCUUUUUUUUUUUUUGGCAUUUACAGCAAAAAUUUCGGAAUUGUGUAAUUUGCUUUAGUAAAUUUAUUCUAGUAGGAAAGCAAAGGCGGAAUCAAUGGAAAGUGACUGGUUGAAAUGCUAUUUCAUCACUGGAAUGUAUAAACGGUAGAAUCGAACAAGACAUGUAAUCCUUAAGUUCUUUCUUGAUAAUUUGUAAUUCAAUAUUUUAGGGUGUAUUGACUUGAGCCAAAUUCUGCCAUAGCUGGCAACCUGUAAAAUGAAAUGCCAUAAUAAUUUUGUCAAAAACCAAUUCUGUUCUAAUGCUGAAUCAAUUUUCUGACGCUUGAGACUGGUUUCAGUCCAUGCUUCAAUGCUGCUUCCCAUACAACAUCAAUUCUAUCUACAUCAAUUGCUCCAACUUCAUGGUGAGUCCAACCUUCCAAGGAAUGAACCAGCCCACCAGCAUGGCAUGCAUGGACAACACCUCUAUCCAUGGUAUACUGUUUUAUGAUAAUUAAGCAGAAAACAAGAAUUAAGUUAGAACAAAUUAAAGACUUAGGCAAUCAAUUCGAGGGAUUUGCGUAAAACUGCUUACCUCACAGCAUCCUAGUCCUUCAACAUCUUCAGGUAACUUCAUAGCUGCUAGAUCACCAUACGUGCAGUCCCUUCUGAACCGCAGAAUUGGUGGAACCACAAAUUGAUGAAAAUGCGUCCCUGGUGGUGCAAAUCUUUGCUCUCUAGGCGUAAUCCACUUGCCAACAAUCCAUGUCUGUCAGGACAGAAGAAACUGAAUUGGACCUUAUAAAACGAAGGUAAUACAUUAUUGUGAUGCCAAAAAGUUUUUCUUACUCCUGUAACAAGUUUAUAGGUCUUUCAGAACUUGGUUUUUAAGGUUCAUAAUUGGUAUCAUACACGGAUUCUGUUAGCAAUAGUUAGCUGCACAAGGCAAUCGAUAGAAAUGAUAAUUCUGUGGGAAGCUACAAUAUCAUACCUUACAGUUCUGAGCAGCUUGGUACUUUGACACUUGGACUAGAUACUUCUGAUAUUCUGUUGGGGCUUCCUUCUGAAUCUUUUGAAAUCUUUCUGUUGAUAAUGUCAACAUCUGCAAUGGUGUUCUUACAUAUUUCAGUUCAUGAAACACCCUUACUAUCAUAGUCAAAUAGGUAGGAAAUGAAAUUAUUCGCAGCAUAACUUCUUUUUUUGUUUGGGGGGGGGGGGGGGGGGGAUGAAGUUGAAGGAGACAAUAAGGACUUGUUGAGAGAAAUAAUAAGCUUUGAAAGUGUAGUUACCAGAACUCUAACUCUUUUCCUGCACAGGUAAAGAGCAAUUGCUCUUCCAAGUUUGGAGGUAGAUCCGCUUAAGAAUACCUCUGUCACAUCGUCUGGAAUCUCAUUGAGAGUCACAGCUGCUGUUAGUGUGUUACCAUGAACAACUCUAACUUCAAGGUCUGGAUGCUUGUUCACAAACAGUGUACCACCGCCAUUCAGAGCCUCAUUCUGCAAGAAGAUGGAUUAGGAAACUAGAAUAGUUAAUUAAACCAAACCGUUACGAUUACAUAUUUUUACAAUUCAUACAAGCAUUCAUUUACAAUCUGCAAAUAGAAUAUAAACGGGCAGUCCAUUUUGCAGAUAAAAAGCUCAUUCUUGUCAAGGUUUCGACAUUGUUUAUCAAUGGAUUGAGAUUACUUUGCAAAAAUUUGCAAAUUGUUUUGAUCAAAAUUUUCUGAUCUAACCAUCUAGAUUCAACGUUGUCUUCAUUAAGACAACGUCAGAAUUGUUCAAUAUAGGCUCUUCUAUUUAAUUACAAUGGGCUAAUUUAACACUGCAGUGCGGGAAACAUUGAAAUGACACGAGUAUAUAUGACACAAAACUGUAUGAAAUCACAGAUAAAUGUAUGAAGGGCAAUGCUGACACAAUAGGUACUGUAUUUUGCAGGGCCAAAUUACGAAUUCCUUUCUUUUAUAGGGAUAAGGACAAACAUCUCAUACUUAUAUGUCUUCAAUUGGAUUUGCCAUUUCUCAAAUCAAGCCACAGUAACAAACAACAACUAAUGAAGAUAGUUUCAGCUAUCACAAUCUGUACUCAUAGAUACAGCAGGCCAUUGCAUGUGGCUUCCUUAGUAACAUUAACUCAUGCCAGACAAGUUCCCAACGGCCCCUAUUUUGUCACAUGGACAAAAUUUCAUUGAACUUGUGAGAUUGAUAUUACAAUCUAAUUCUCCUUUGACAUCAAAUGUUUGAUGAAAACAAGAAAAGGUUUUCAUUGAGCUUGUUCCCACUAGACCAGCCUACUACACCCUGCUGGUCUAGUAGUUUUCACGCCAGGAAUAAAAGAUUUUAAGCUUACCAAAAUAUCCAGCCCCAAGAAAAAAAAAACCACAUUUAACAAAUGAGUGAUGAUCAUGAGACUAGUUAAUUACGCAAUGUCAACAAUUUCAAUCUCAUAUCUAUAGUCGAUAUUUCUUUCACCAUGCAGAAAAACUUUUGUCAUGCAUGAGCUAAAAAGGUGAAACAACUGUACGAAAAGUUAGGGCAAUGUGACCUUAUUCAAUGCAGCAAGGCUGAUAACUUUGACUCCCAAUCUAUUAGCCCUUAGAAUAGCCUCCUCAAUGUGUUUAUUAAUGCCAUCAGCGGCAAACGGUAAAAAGUACUGCAGAAAGAAAGAAACACCCAAAUCAGGGAUUUUCCUGGAUUCAGCAAAGAAUGCUAUAUAUCAUCAACUGAACUUAAUAAAUGAUCACAAACCUGAAAACCAAAGCGAGGAACAGACCAAGUUUGAUGCAGCAUGCCUCUGAGCUUGUAGAAGGAGACCAAGAAAGUUUUGGACUUAGCCCACAUCAGAAGCAUUACGACAAAGCAAACUGGCAACCAAGGGAGUAAGAUAACUCUAGUUGUGUAGGGCAUGGAUCCAUAUGAUCUGAAUACAAAUUGGGCGUGCAUGGCUGAGGUCAUGUCCACCACAUGAGCCAAGAACACAAAGUCUGGCACCCUAGAAUUUUUACCUGCAUUGGAAUUCAUGUCUGAUCAAUAUCAACUAGAAGUUGGUGAAUAGUAAUUCCUGUACCUUUGCCUUACUGGAUAAUAAAGAGAGUAGCAGGCUGUACAAAUAGGUUAUGUAUGGACCUCAUAUUUAUUGUUCAAAGUUACGCUUUUUCUUAGUACGCUUUUUCUGAUAAUUGAUUUGUUUCCAUUGUGGCUUGCUCUAGAUUUGGGACCAUUAAUGAAUGGCAUACUACUCUUUCCCACUGAAUUUGUUGUUGCCAACGAGAGUCCAGUCCUCUUGGGGUUUUUUCUUAAUUUUUUCGGUUAUAAUGGACAUUUUCUGCUCUGGUACGAGAAAAAAUAAUCAAAUAAAUUCUCAAACUUUCAAGAGGAGGCUCGGUGGAUCUAAGAAUCAGAAGCCUUGAAUCAAAUUCCUCUUCCUGCUUCUUAAAUCCCUUCCCUCCCAUGCCAAAAGAAAUUAAAACAAAAACUCUCAAACUUCCUACAAAUAUAAUGGGCAUGAAAAGGCAAAAAUAUUAUCCCAUCAUGAUAUGUUUUUGAAGAUUAUACCUGCGUCUAAACUGAAUUUCUUGUGCAUGUCCCAUGAUUUGCUGUUCAGGGUGUUGCCUAGCAGAUCAUAAAUGGGCAUGAAAAGGCAAAAAUUGGUACCCAUCUCCGUGUGGUGCAGGCUGUGAUAUCUGCAAUGUCACCCAAAAAAAAAAAGCGAAUGCUGCGUUAGUGUGGUUAUCUACAUCAGAAUUCAUGUGCAGAUGCCACAGCCUUUGAGGCAGGUGCACCAAUUUUUGUACGUCACUUGCUUUCUUCCAGUGCUAAAAAUUUAAAACCAUCUUAAAACUGGCGGAAAACAAGGACGCCGAACCCCACUUAUUAACUAUCCACUAAGUUGGAUGGAUGUAUUGGAAGCUGUAGUUUCAUGAUUGGUUCAUCAACUGCCAGUCUUUAAUCUCAAUAAAUUACUAGGUCUCGCACGGUAUUACUCUUUUGGAUGUACUAGAUUUUGAAAGUAAAUUUUGCCCAUUAAAUAAAUUUUCAGCUUUAAACAAAGUGCAAGUGUGUACUAAAGACCAGCCUAUUAACAGUUCUCCUAGAACUUCGGAAAUUGUUUUGUAGUAAAGCAAAUUGAACUAAUAUUUAAAAUCAGCCGCAUUUUUUGCCUCUUUGUACCGAACUGUCUCUCUUAGUCCCAAUUUAUCUUAAUAAAUAAUCUUGGUAGCUACAAUUUAAUAAUUACUCUAUAAAAACCUUCUUACUUACCGCGUCAAGAAUGUUGUCUAACUUCUCAAAUUAUUACUAUAAAACAUUCUACAGUGCUCCAUAACUUUGGGAUCACUCUACUUCUUGCAGAACUAUAGACUGCGAAAAAAGUAAAAGAAAAAAAAUUUUCCAAACAUGCAUAAAAUUAACCUUGCAGUUACUUACGUUGGCGAAUAUAGGAGGUAUCGAAGAAAAGGGAAUUUUUCAAAUAUCUGAUGGGGCAAGAUUUCGGUAUUGCAAUGCCCUAAAGAUCUUAGUAAAUCGAAAAUCAAGACGUAGCCAUAGAUCAUGCUUAUUGAUCCAAGUCCAAGAAAACAAGCCCCAACAAUAGGAACUCCAAUCACAACAGCCAACACAAGAUGCUCAAGAAGUGUGAGAUGGCCAGCUGCAUAUUGAACAACAAAAUUAUCAGCAAGUAAAUCGAAGUUUUGGGUAGAAUUUAAAUCUAAAAAAUGGGUUUUGAAGUUCCACCUGUGAAGGGUUGAGGGACAGGAGAGGAAUGAUGGAGUGAAUGGUAAUUGGUGAACAGAUACUUCCCGUGAAAGUAUUUAUGCGUCAAGUAAUAUAGAGGCUCCGAGAUUGCAAUAUGGAGCAAAACAACAGCAACGAAGCCUCUUGUGUUCCAUAGAGGAAGAUCAGCAAGAAACGGGAACUUGUAGAAGAUUAAUGUAGCAAGAGCUGCUUGAAGCAAAAUGAAAUUAUCCCUGAAAAAUAAAACCAGCAAAUGUCAAACUAAAAUUGCACACAACUAUUGUUUAUUAAAAAAAAAAAGUACAAAAAGACCAGCAUCUACCAGUCCCAUUCUUUAUCAAUCUGCUUAAAAUCUACUCCUUCUUUGAUGAUCCGGCGAUUUCGAGUAAGAAAAAGCAUGUUGCUGUAAGCGGUCCAUGAAUGAUACAUGAAACACCUAAGAGUACAUAAGAUUAGAAUGUGCAGACACCAAAGGGCCUGGCUGCAGGUAUCUUCUUGAUGCCUUGCAUGUAAGAUCUUUGCAAGAAACGGUCCAUAUAGGAUAUACUGUUCAAAAGAAAUGAAACAAAAAUGAGCAUCCAGCACUAAAAAACAUGAAGAGCCGUUCUUGUUUUCUUAGACAGAUUUAAAGUUCUGUUACCUUGAAACUUCCCAAGCCUUCCCAUGGCCAUGUUGACAAGAGUGCAACCAUUUUCCAAGUCGUACAAUCUUUUCUGGCUCUGUCUUUCUCUUAUAGGUGUAAAUGGAAAUGGAAACGAUUGAAAACCAGAGAAGAGAACCAAGAGGAAGAAAUGGAGAGGUUUUGAAAGUUUGGCUUGGUUCUCUUAUCGACAAGCAAGGUGUAAAAGAAGUCUCUCUUGCUCUUUUUUCUCACCCAAGGAUUAUGUACUUAUAUACUGAGCUAUCAACUCCAUUGAUUGCAUUUUAGUUGUGUCCAUGUAAUAACUUUGGAAGACAAGUCAGGUGUGAAUAUCAAAUGUAUCGAAUUCGACGCGUUCAUCUAUGUACUACUCUUACAGUACAAUAUGGCACAGCUGUGGUCCUGGCCACUCUCAGAAUUUAAUGCACCUAUAGUUCUAUGUAGCAUUUUUGCGUGUCUUGGAGAUGUGGAUGGAGUGGUAUUUUUUUUUUCUUUUAAGAAAAUUACGGAGUACUAGCUAAUGGAGAAUUCAAAUUCUUAUCUUGGGGGGGAGGUGGGGGUAGUUGCCUUGUCUAAAUAAGGCACUAGCAAUCUCUCAAAGAUCAAUAGUAAUAAUAUACGAAACCACCCAAGUCACUGAAAAAUGCAUCGAUGGCCUACCCUGUUUUUUUAAAUGGAAUAGCUUUUUAUUUUCUCCUAAACUUCUUUUUUUUUUUUUUUUAUUGAUGAGAGAUUCCUAAUCUUCUAAGAGAAAAGUUGAAAAGAGAAAGACUUAAAGUCGCACUAGAAUACUCGUGAUCACUUAAGUAAUGAGUGUGUUUAGAUAGGAGAUUGAUUAUUUGAAAUAACUAUUGUGAUACUUUUUGUAAUGUGGUGUAUAUAAAAUAAAAAAAGUGUGUUGAAAAUUAUAUUUGUGAUAUAAGCAAAUAAUUUGAAACCUAAUAAUGGCUAUAACAAUUAUAUAUGUUGAGUCUUAGAACUUAAUUUUCUUGCGGUUUUCAUGAAUUAAGAAGAAAUUCUUUUCUUGUCUUUUGGGCAAUUGACCAAAUUUUUGGUUGUAUAGGCUGGAUAUUGCCUGGUUAGUAUAGUUGAUGAUCAGUCCUAGGAGGAAAACGACAUGACUUUCCCAUAGCCACAAAAUGCCAAAGAACUUUCCCUCUUUAAGGCCUUUUUGUACUUGAAAAAUGUAAAAAAUAAAUAAAUAAAUAAAUUUUGAAAAAGAAAAAAAUGUCAAUUAUUUGAUGAUUCACAAGAAAACUUGUAACAAAGAAUCAGAAUGGUAUCACAAUCUAUGAUUGACUUUCUUUCUCCCAUAUCUUCUUGCCCCCGAUUUAAUCUUUUGGUUUAACCAGGUGAAACAGAUGUUGUAUGCAUAUUAAUUUGUUGAACCGACCUGCUGGGACUCUUCUUCAAUUUGUCUUUCCAACCACUAGAGGUAGCCUGCUCUUUUUUCCAUUGAUUAUUUUAAUGCCGGCCGUAAUUAAUUAAAUCUUGUUGAGGAGGUCCAAUUGGACCUACCGGUUUCGUGAGGGAUAGCAUGGCCGGGGCUGUCAUGCAUUCAAUUCAUCAAGAAUUAGUGGAUUUGAUUUGUAUGGUGCUGAUGAAUUGUGCCCAAAACAUUUGCUUGCCUUAAGUACAUCCACUUUUCUUUUUUUUUUCCUCCCCAAGGUUUAUCGAUCAGCCAAAUGGCAGCUUUUCCUAACCGGAAAAUAUCUCAAUUUAUUUGGAAAAUACUGGCCUUUUCAAAUUGGAUGAUUCCAAAUUCCAUUUAGCAUCAGACAGCACAUUCUGGAAACACUAAUCAAUAACGCCGCAACAGUACAUGAGAUUAAUUUUUGGAUUAGCAUGUCAUGUGUUUCGAGGUUGUGGUGUAUAAUCACAAUCUGUAGUAAUUGCCAAAUCGAAUGGAAAAUCAACCACGUUAUAUGUACGUACAGAAGUUCUGCUUAAUUAUACUACGUACAUGAUGGACCAAAAAGAAAAUCGAAGAAUGAUAAUAAAUAUUUGGAUGUCCAAGUGCAGUGGCCGGCAAUGGAAACCCUGUGUUUUUCGUUUUUUAUAACACUUUUGCGGACGUUCAAUGUUCUAACCAAAUCAGCUUAUAUGCUUUUCCUAUAGGUUUUUUUUUUUUUUUUAACGCACUUUUAUUUCAAUGUCCGAUGAAUUUUGACGGAUUAGGUAACAAGGAUCAGUGAACUUUGGAACCUUUGAAGCUAGCUACUAAUCUUUUUUUUUUGUCUGUAUUUGAAAAUCCUUUUAAACCUACCAUUUGUCUGUACUUAACAACCACAAUUAAUACUUCAACUUCGCAUCUCAUGAUUUUGAAAGACGGCUCCUAAUUAAUAAGGGUUAGGAAAAAGUAAAGGCGAUAUUUUCAGCAAUGCAUUACAAAUUUAAUGUAGCUGUGUGCAAUUUGCAGAGUCGUGUGAGAGAUUUCUGUCCAAGGGAAGGGAUUCCCGUGAAGGUGUUCGUAUUGUCAACUAUGGUGGGCACAACUAAUUCUAGGCAACUAAUUCUAGGCUAAAUCCAAGAACUGUCUACCAAACACUUGUUAAUUAGCCAACCCUUUAUAUUUAUAUAUAUACAUAUAUAAAUAAAAUCUUUAAAUUCUAGCGUUAACGCUUCAUUACUAGGGAAAAGAUUUUGCUUCAAAGCUCAAGCCAAUAACUUAAUUGAACUUAAUUUGACCAUUUCCCGAUACGAAGUAAACUUAUACCUGUAUGAAAAAUUAAACAUCAAGAAGAAAAAGUUCAACGAGAAAAUUCCCCAGUAACGUAAAUAAAAGUCGAGUGUAGCCAUCAACCAUUUAGGGCUAGUAUUCUCCGGUAGCAGAUGGGCAACUGGUUGUCUUGGGCCGAUCAUCCCGUUUGAUCUGUUCAACAUUGACACACAGUUGCUUCUCCAUGGCAUUUUCAGGACAAAAAAUAGACGGGUCAAUGACGUAUACAAGUCCAAUUCCUCAUCUUUGGGGCAAAUGAAAUAGUACCCACUUCAUGGACAAUAAAUUAGGAACAAUCAUUCACGCACUAAUAAUAUAUAUAAAAAAAAAAAAAAAAAAAAUUCUACACUAAACGACAAUAUAAUAUGUAGAAAAAUUCUAUACUAAACGACAAUACAACUUAAGCGUAGAAAUGAAUUAAAAGAUGACCCGCCUCCUUCAUUUUAAAGCAUUCAUGUUUGUGUCUAUCAUUUAAAAAAUCAUGAUUUUAAAUUGUUUUUUUUGUAGACAGACUCGUAUAUAUUAAAUAUGUUUAAAUGUAUAUUAUAAAUACAAAUUUUUAAAUUUAAAUUUAAAUUAUUUAUCAUGUAUUUAGACCUACUGAUGUAUGUACUGUCUGCAUCUGCAUGUAUAAAAAAAAAAUUAAUGCAACAAAUAAAGAAUUACUAGUCUCUACCACCUCUCUGUAGUCUCUAAUUACCAUCAACGAAACCAGCUUAUGCAUAUGACAGCGCGCACAUUUCUUCACAGCAGCAUCAUUAUCGAACCAGAACAGCUAAAAUGUUACAAGCGGCAAGUAAUAUGCGCCGAUUUCAAAUUCGAUAACGUGCAAGUUUUGAAAUUCUCUUUUGGACUAAUUUCGUGUGAACUAGCAGGACUGAUUUAUUCUACAAAUUCAAAAACCAUGUAAAUCCAGAUCAACUUGUACAAAUAUAGACGAGACGACGGUUAAGGUUCUUGAUUCUGAAUUUUGCCAAGAUAUUUAACCAUUGCACACCACAUAUUCUGAAUUCAGCCCCAUGUUCAUGAUAAACAUAAGUAACUACUUCCCACAUGUUGAUGGUUUUAGUUUCGAUCCACUUGCGGUGCCCACUUAUUUAGUUGCAGGCGUACUGAUCUGCAGCAUCUUUUGAUAUUUCUCAUUCGAGCUGCAUUCAUGACUAGACGUCUAGGGGAGGAAUAAUAACCACAUGUUUUCUUGAAUCUUUGAAAGGAUAAGGGCCUUGUUUAGAAGUAAGUUUUUUGUCAAGUUUGUCUAUUGUAAGUUUUUGAAAAAUUUUAGUUACAGUAACUUUCAAAAAUUUUCAAAAUUUUUAAACUAUAUAUUUCAAAAAAAUUUUUAAAAACUUCUACAGUAAAAUUUUAGACAAAUAUCCAAAAAACUCACCUUCCAAACGAGGUUUCGUGGGAUAAUGAUGCAAAGCAAACACUUUCAAGCCAAUUUUAUGUUUGCAGCCGUAGAGUUAUGGAGAACAGAUAAUUGUUCCAAAUGUCAAGAUAUCAUUUACGUAAAGAAUGAAACUUAUCAUGUGAAUACCCUACGUAGCCAGCUGUCGCCAUACAUGCAAUUAAAACUACAUCAUUUUCGAUCAUGCCAUACUUUUGAGUGUUCAUUCUUUUGUCUGAACAACAGCGCUAAUUAGAAGUAACUAUUCCUUAGGCAAUGAAAACAAUAUAGGAUCCCUGUUUCUAGGUUCUUCUUCUUCUUUUUAACAUGCGAAUGAAGGGAUUUGUUAUCAAUACCGGCGACUGGGACGAAGCGAGGUCCGUAUGUAAAGCUUUUUCAUAAUUUCCUGCCGGACAUUGGGCAAAACUAGAUAAGUGACAUAUGGAAAACCAAGAAAUAGUUGCAGUUGCAUUGGAAAAGAAAUAGUGUUCCACCAGGGACCAGGCUAGUUCAGUACCAUGUAAAAGCUUUUCAUAACCUGGAAAUGAAGGGAAUUGUUAUCAAUGCCAGCCACUAGGGACCAAACUAGUUUAGUAUGUUAAAGCUUUUCAUAUUUUCUUGCCAGAAAUAGUGCACAAAACUAAAUGAUGUUAUCAGUGAAAUUGUAAGAAAUUGAGAAUCAAGGAGUAGCUUUGCAGUUUGGAAUGUCAUCAGUGAAAUAGUGUUGCAAAAUUGGGACCAAGCUAAUAAUUUGGUAUGUAAAGUAGGGGUGGGCACAGAUCGGGUACCCGCCCUAAUAUGAUUUAGCUGACCCGACCCUAAUAUUUUCGGAUCAACCAUUUUGUGACCCUAAGCCGCUCCUAAUAUCUUCGGGUACCCGAAAAAAAAAUGCGGGUCAUAGGAUACCCGCCUUAUGACCAGCCCCAAAAAAAAAACUAUUUUUCAAUAAAAAAUUGCUUUCCACUUAAUAUCAACAUGUUUUUCAAUUAAAAAAACAUGGUUUCCAAUUAAUAUUAGUAGAGAUAUUGUAAUUAAAGUCCAUACAUCACCAUUUUCACACAUUUCAUCCAACAAUCAAAUCGAUCUCAUAAAUUUAGUAUAUAUUAGAAUUAUAAUAUCUAAUAGAUAAAACGAAGUUUCAUAAUAAUUUUGAGUACAUCACCAUUCUCACACAUUUCAUCCUUCUACAACACAACAAACACAAGGAUAAUAAGUAUUUGGCAACUUCCCCAACUUCCUUAAGGAUGUUAUGGUACAAGAUUGCAUCUCAAAUAAGUCGAUAGUGAAAUCAAGUUCAGAAAAGAAUUAAAUAGACCUAAUUAUUUUUGAAAAAAGUAUAACAAAAAUAACCUUGAAAAAUCUUCCCCAGCUUCUUUACAUCUUUGGAAUAGACCUUAUGGUAUUAAAGGUGAUGAAAAAGAAAAAUAAAUUUCUUACACUAAAUAAAAGAGACAAAUUUAAGAGACAUAAUUGCAAUAAAAUAAAUCAAAUAAAUCAAUAAAUGAAAGACAUAAAUGUUUUAAUUAUCUAGCUAACAGAAAAUUGAAACUCCAAACACAAAUCUUUGAUUGAAUUGAUGCAAAAUUUGCAGGAAAGAUCGAUGGAGGUAGAAUAAAAAUAAAAAUGAUGAAAGGGAUGAACAAUUUUUAUAACAGAGUUUCACAAUUUUUUUUUUCAUUUUGUUCGUUUGGUUCAUGUUUCAUCGAGAAUAUUCGCUUUCUUCAAACAAGAUGAGGAGAUGUGGAUCAUAUGGGAUUAGAAUAUAAGUCUUUGAGCCACUUCACUUGCACUUAGAAUUAAAAAUUAUAAAGUUAUAAAAUGAUGCAUAAUUUUUUAAUAUUUAUAUAAUAUACCCUGCGGGUUUGAAUUUUUCUAAUCCGCAUCCGUAUCCGAUUUUUGAGGGUACCAAACCCUCAUCUACCCCGCUAAGAAAAAUCGGAUCGGGUAUCCUAUUUUUCGGAUUGGGUUCAUCGGAUUUUCGGAUCGACAGGUUUUUUUGCCCACCCUUAAUGUAAAGGCCUUUCAUAUUUUCAUGCUAGAAAAAGUGAACUAAAUGAUGUCAUUAGUGUGACAUUAUAAGAAAUUGCGAACCAAGAAAUAAUGUUGAUGUUGCACCGUAAAGAAGCAAAGAAAAAGAUAUAGCUCUGCAUUUACACCAAAGUUGUCCGGUUUAGAUUGCACUUUUACAAGUUUUUCGGAAUGUUUCAAGUAAUAGUUUCAAAAAACCAAUGGCCCUUUGGACUGUUGCCACCUCCAAAGACUUUAAAUAUUGGUGGGGUGAGAGGUCAAAAGUUCAAAUUUUGCAUCCCAUUAAUUUGCCACUAUAUGUGGCUUUUUCUAAAUUCAUACAAGUACGUAAUGCACUCGUCUGGUCCAAUGGUGGUUCAAUCCCCAUCGAUUUCUCUAGGUCUCGUUGGACCUCUCCCUCUCCCCCCCACCCAAAAAGUGUAAGCUAGAGUAGGAGUCGAUUAGGCUAAUUGUUACCGUCUAAUAAAAAAAAAGUAACAGUAUCAAAAGUGAUGGACGUGAAAUAAGAAAAUUAUUUAUAAUGUGUCCAAAAAUUGUUUUCUAGAAACUUACAAGCCAAACAAGUUUACAUCAAUUCCAAGUUCCUACGAGAUUUUAUAUACAGCAUUCCAACUUUUAACGAGGUCUUAAUGAGUCUUUCCACAAGGUAAAUUAUUAUAAUUUCUUUUUGAAGGAAAUUAAACCAAACUAUUUUAGUAUUUAGUUUCUUAAUUUGGUUUGAUAUUUUAUUUAUUUAGUUUCUGUAUUGGUUUAGGAAAUAUAAAAUCAAUUUUUCAAAUAAAUUUCGGUUUACAAUUGUAUUUGUUUUAGAAAAUUUUGAAAUCUAUAAAAAACUACCAGUUUAGUAGGUUAUUAUUUGAAGAGUUGAGUUGAAUCUUGAGAGUAGAUUUGAGAGAAAGUCUCACAGUUGAGAUUUAUAAGUUAUCGUGAGUGAAAAGUUACGACUUGAUAUUAUUAUUGGUUGGGUUUUGUUGAAAUUUGAGUUAAUUAAAUUAUUGAGUAUUUGUUCUCCUCCAAUUCCCACAUAUUUUUAUAUAUGCUCAAAUUGCUUCCGCUGUGUGGGGCGCGUGAUUUUUCGUGCCAAUAAGUGAUAUCAGAGCUCUAGACUUUGAUCUUGGGGCUUGUUCGUGAAAUUAAAGUAUGGAUCCGUAUUAUUGAUCAUGUUGUGGUAUUUUUAUCUUUGAUGGUAAAAAUGAUUUUGAAAUUUGGAGUUUGAUGAUGAAAAGAUUUUUUCAUGUUAUUGGAAUUUGGGAUACUGUUGAGAAGGGGUUCACGGAACCUAAAGCAAGCUCAAAAUCAUUAAACGAUCUAAUUAAAGAAUUAAAGAGGAAUAGACAAUUGGAUUGUAAGACAUUUCACUAUCUCAACACUCAAAUCCAGUUGCAUGUAGCGAAUAAAUUUAUACACGCAAAGACAGCAAAGGAGGCUUGAAUAUUUUUAAUAUAUUUCUAUAGUCAUGGUAGAGAAGAAAUUUGUGAUGAAAAAGAAAAAAAAGAAUAUUUUAAUAAGUCAAAGAAAGAAGAAAUUGCAGGAACACUUAAAGAUGAAGAAUUUGUGAUUGAAAAAAAAGUUCGCAAGUGUUUAAGAGAGAAAGUGAAAUUAAAGAUGUGAUUGAAGAUUAUGACAAUACAAAGAUUAUGACAAUACAUAAGUUAUUAAUUUUGUCGAGAUUGAUGAUUUUCUUGAAGAGAAGUGAUAGAAUUGAUUAAAAACAGUUUGUGAAGUGGACAAAUUAAUCGAAAGUUGUGAUACUGUUAAAAGUGAUGCAGUUGUUAGUGCUGAAAAAGUAAAGGAAAAACAUGAUGAUGUUAAAAACAUUGGUAGCGGCAACUAUGAUUUUUUGGUUUUGGGAGAUUUUAUUAGUGAUGUAGCUAAAUUAAAUUAUGAAGCAUUGAAUGAAGAAUGGGUGGAUAUGUUUGAAUUUUUUCAUAAGAGUAAUCAAGUCAAGAAAUUGAUCGAAAACUACAAAUUUCGUCCAUUCUUGCGCGUGAAGAUAAAAUUGGAGAUCAAUUACAAGUUGGAGUUCCACGUCAUCUAUACAGCAACCAAGUUGUUCAUGGAGAUUCAAACUCAUGAUGGCAUUGGAGAUGACAACAUUAAGAGCUUUGUUUAAGGGAAGCAAUGAAGAAAAUUAAACCAAACUACUUUAAUAUUUAUUUUCCUAAUUUGUUUUGAUAUCUUAUUUAUUUAGUUUCCGUAUUGGUUUAAGAAAUCUAAAAUUAAUUUUUCAAGUAAGUUUCGGUUUACAAUUAUAUUUGUUGUAGGAAAUUUUGGAGUUUAUAAAUACUACCAAUUUAGUAGGUUACUACUCAAAGAAUUAAGUUGAGUCUUGAAAGUAGGUUUGAAAGAAAGUCUCAUAAUUGAAAUUUAUGAGUUGUCAUGAGCCAAAAGCUAAAACUUGAUAUUGUUAUUGGUUGGGUUUUGUUGAGAUUUGAGUUAAUUAAAUUAUUGAGUAUUUAUUAUUCCUUCUCUUCCCACAUAUUUUUAUAUGUGUUAAAAUUGCUUUUGUUGUGUGUGCGCGCGAUUUUUCGUGCCAACACUCUUUAAUAGAGUAGUUCAUGAAGUAGACUAUUAUAAUUAAUCAGUAUGAUAGUAGAAGUUUUUCUUUAAUAUGAACCAUCUAAUUGCCACGGCCAGUCAUGGUAACCUACAAUUUUGAAAAGAACCCGCUUUUAGUAGCACGUAAUUAAAUUAGAUUGAAACUUUCAUAUUGUUCCGCCAAUCACCUAGGGCUGUCAACGGGCCGGGUCCGGGCCGGAAUUCAUUAUUCCGGAUCCGGACCCGAAUUACUAUGCCGGAUCCGGAUCCGACCCGUUUACCCGACGGGUCUUUUAUUCUAUGUUCCGGAUCCGGAUCCGGGUCUACCCGAACAAAUUUACCAAAAUUUAUAAUUUCUAAUAAAAAUGAGAAAAAAAUAUAUUUGUAAACUAAUUUCUAACUAAUGCAAAGAAAAAACCAAAUAAGAAAAGAAAUCAAAUUAACUUUAUUAAAAUACAUCACCCUAAUCAAAUUAUAUUGAUAAAUAUAUAUUUUUUAAAUUAUUAAUUUAUUUAUAUCCGGAUCCGGGUCUAAUACGGGUCGGAAUACUAUAUUCCGUAUCCGACCCGUUUUUUUGUUUGACAAAACGGAUCCGGAUCCGGGAAACGGAAUUAAAUCCCUACCCAUACCCGCAAUAAUUUCACGGAUCGGUCCGGAUCCAGGUCUAGACCCGACCCGUUGACAGGCCUACAAUCACCACAAACCAAGUGUCUUAAAAUCACUAGCCUACACUGGGGAUCAUUGUGAAAGUUAAUAGUUGUCAAAAGCACUAACCAAGAAGCAAGUUUCUCCAACUAAAAUCAAUUUCCAGCAUUAUGCAGUAGUAGUGCAAAGCCACAAACGGACGUAGACUUGAUUUGACUUAUUGAUUAAAAAUCAAAAUGAAUAAUACAAUUGAUUUGAAUUUAUAGAAGAAAAAUUUGAAACCCAAAUUUUCAGAGCAUGUUUCUAUUUAAGCAAUAUAUACUAAACCACAAAUUUUUAGUGGUUUAAGUAGCAUUCCAUUAAUUCUAAAGAUCCUACUAAGAUUAGGAUCCACUUUAUAAAUUAGAUCAUAAAGUUGUAGGACCAUGAAAGCAAGAUGAAAAUUCUAACUAUGCCCCACACUCCCUCUCCCCUCAAAAAGGGCAAAAAAAAAAAAGAAAAGAUUCCGUCUUUUCUAUAAUUUCCAUUAGUGUACCAUCCUACAAUUUUUCACACCAAAUGUCAAUACAACUUUUUCUGGCAUUUGCUCUAUACUACUUCAAAGCAAAGAUAAAUUAUCAUAUAAGAAAAAGGAAAAAGUAUUUGAAGACUUAAAUCCCUACACUUACCACAAUUAAACAUUGCCAAUAACUUGACUCUAGAUUUUUUGUGAUAAGGAGGUCAUAGAGAGACGGUGGUAUCAUUUUCUAUUCUCAACUUCCCUGGAGUUUACUUAAAAGAUAUGUGAAGGGAUUUAUUAAUGAAUUGUAUAUGUCAUGCAUGAUGCCUAACCAAAAUUUGGAAUAAAAUAUUUUUGUAUGUUUGUCCCCUGAUAAGAGAGACUCCAUCAUUUUUAAUACAUAGUGGGCAGUCAAGAAUUUACGAAUAAACUAGGCAUCUUCUGUUCUCAUUCUUUCCAAUCAUUUGUUAAGUGAUAAAUUGAUAGGUUGUAAUUUUAUUAUUUAUUUUAUUAUUAAUUUCCUCUAUUACCUGACCUGAUGUGGAUUAAUUGUUAGAUUCUACUCACUUUUGACAAUUUGUAUUUAUUUCAGGGAAUAAAACGAAAAUAUCAUAAUAAGUACCAAUUUAGCAAUUAUCAGAAAAGAGUUCAAGUAGCAGGAGCAUUUUUAGAACGUCAAGAUGCGACCCCUUUUUGAUAAUUUGGCGAAAGACAGCAUGGAAAAAUGGACGAAAAGGCUGAAGUCUUCUAUUCCGCUUGGGGGAGGACGCUCUCUCUUUUCUUCCUCUGUAGGGGACGCCGCACAGGAGGCAUUAGAUAGAAAUUAGAAACAGGAGACAACUAGCAGAUGACUUGGCAGUUUAGCUUUUGACUUUUCCGUUUCGUCUUCUUGUGGUUCCAUUACUCGUAUGUCAAGACCAAGUGAAGACAUUGAAUUACUUCCUGUAGCUUGCCUUUUUUCUUGAUUUCUCCGAAUUGAAUUUAGCCAAUCACGGAGACAAUGGCCGCAACUAUUGCUGCAAUUUUGUGUGGGUCCUUCUUGUCAAGGAUAAACUAAAUCCCCUUUUCUAGUCAAGAGUCAAGAAAUAAUGGAGGCUUUGGUUCGGCUAAAAAUUGUGAGAUCGAUUUAAUUUUAUCUUUUUCUUUUAUUUAUUAGUAUUCGUAUAUUCUCUGAUUACAGUGCUUAUGAUUGUUCAAUUAAUUAAUUAUCUUGGAUCCGGAUAAUUAGUUAAUUUAGUAACCUAUUGUCAAUUAGGAUAUUAAAUCCGUAAUUGUUUAAUUGCUCUGAAAUAGUGACAACUGACAUAAUUGGAUUUGUGUCAGGGGAAUACGCGGGUUAAUAUAAAAUAACCCUGGUAGUGCGUUAUUUGGUUAAAAUAGGGCUCCUCUAAUACGUAAGGCAAUUGGGGAAUUAAAUCUUACGGGCGUACCUAAAAUUAUUUCUCAAUUAAAGCAGUGAUUAACGGGCGUACCUUAAUCAUCGACACAGUAAGGAGGGGUUGACUGUCAUCGCUUGUUUGACAGUUAUAACCUAUUUAUUAGUAAAUAAUUGGAAUUACCUUUGCAUCGAUGAUCCAUUAGGUGAACCAUUGCUGAAAUUAUUUUUUGGCUAUACCUUUAAUUAUUAUUACCUUGAUUUUAGUGAAUUGUCAUUUAAUUUUUAGUUGGCUCUUUUAUUCUUAGUUGAAUUGUUUUAAUUGCCACCCUUUAUAAAAACACCCCCUGUGUUAUUUUGGAUUUCUAAAGAGACAAAUAUCCCCAGUUCCUGAGGAUACGACCCUACUUGCUCUGUCUACAAAUUCAUAAUUAUUUGUGAAAAAAGACAUCCCAUUCGGGUAUAUCGGAUCAAGUAAACUCUUCGGGAACAGGGUGAAUCAAGUAACACAUUGUACACCUAGAGUUCCUGCUCCAGUACUUGGAAUCGGGUUUUGGUUACUUUAACUGGCAAUUAAGUUUAUUUUAUUAUUGUACAGGUUUCGACAACCUGUCAUAAACGUGGCUCAAAUGUCCGAGAGGAGAGGGGGGCAACGUUUUACUUUUGUUUUAGUGGUUGCAAUUUGCAAACAAUGAAAAGCCCAAUGACAAUUGAAGGCGUUAGAUUGCCUUAAUAGUGUGAUUCGGGUUUGGUUUCUGGGCUGAUCUGUUUUGGUUAAGGAAGCAGCAAGCCUUGUCUGCUUUAUGUUGCUUAGGCCUAUCUAUAAGGUCGUUUGAAGAGAUGAUCCAGUUCUCAACAAAAUCUGUCGGCAAGUUUCAACAUGCGUGGGCCAACGAUUGCCUCCUAAAUCAAUAGGGUAGGCUUGAUUGGGAUGUUACUGGCAUCCUCUUGGAAUUCGCUGACUAGUGAUUUGACAACUUUUGGCUGGAAUUCGCCCCAUUUUCCACUCCAUUUCAACUCCAGCAGCGGGCACCUGUCUCCGUCGCCAGCCUUGCAUAUUUUAGUUAGUAUUGUGACAUGGUGGGCUUACCCGUUUUGAAUGCGUUCCCUUUAGAUUUUUUUUUUUAACUUUUCUAACGAGCACUCGUUAACACAUUUAAAUCACAUCUAACUUAUCAUAUAAAUAUACACACUAAUAAUUAUUACCCUUCUUUACAUUUAUAGAUAUUCUCUAAUUAACUUUGCUUUUUCAAAAUUUUAGUACCUUAUUAAGUACAACUUAAGGAAUGACCACGGAGUGCCCAUUAGGUAGAUUUUUUUUUUUUUUGAUUUUAAUAAUGCUUUUGAUGCAUUUGGCUUUGACUAUGAUUUGAAAUGAGGACGUCACAGCUCCUGAGAUAAUUCCAAAAUCACUGGGGCUAGAGUUCAUUGUUCCUACAUAUCAUUUCGUUUACAUACAAACUCUAGGUGGGGAACGGGGGAGGGGCAAAAAGGCAAAGCCACAAACGAAUUACCCUGCGAAUUUAAAUAUAUUUCCAGCAGUUUCAAGUAAGGUUGUGCAUCACAAGGAAGUACGUACUAUGCUUAAUUUCUUUGUUCUAAAAAAAAUUUAGAGAGUACAAUAAUGUAUUUGUUUGAUCUUGAGCUUCCUCUUCAUUUCUAAUACAAGUCCAAUUGGACUCCUCUACUCUUAUACAUAGUUAUUAAACCCGAUCCGACCCGACGUGAAAUAUAUAACCGAAGCUGUAAGCAUGGUGUUACACUGUUACUCAAAGGGCCUAAGCUACUUCACGCAGAGUUUCACUUUGAUCCCAUUCAUUCACUAUUCAGCAAGGGAGGUGAGACUUGAUUGCUUGGUUGUUUACUACUCUUGGGAAGCAAUUGUUGCUGGUCCAUUUGGAUGAUUCUGCUGGUAUUUAAUUAACACGAUGUUAUGCGAAAAUCACCUAAACCAUGUUACAUUUUUUUGUUUUUUGUAAUAAGUCCCUGUAUCGAAGAGGUUUGCAUCCAACUGAAAAAGAAAUAAUUAAGCUCAAAAAAUUACACUUUAUAGACCGCUGACUAAUUGAUAAUACGCUCUAGGCUGGAAUGUCAGCAAUUCCAUUCUUUGUUCAGUGUUGGUGCAUUUCUAAAAGAGGGCUGCCUUUGAAUUCAUCCACGACAUGACAAGCUUGAUUUGGAUAUCUUGGCAGACAAUAACGCUAUUAGUGGUUUGUUACAACCCACAAUAUGCAAUUUUUUUUUAUUGUUUGAAUUCAUACCAUUUUGUAACUGUUUAAUAAGACAUGAUAUGACAAGCAAAAAAAAAAAAAAUUUCAGCUUGUUAGGUGCAAUUGCUGUAAUACUUGGUCUAUAUAAUUAAUGCGUAGUAAGAACUUCUGUUGGGAUGUACGAAUUAUCUUUCUAAUGUUUUUCGGGGAGAGGCAUCAAUUUCAAAGGCAUCAUAUGCAUGGUUUCUCUUGAACCAAUUGACCCGCGAAAAAAUAUUAAUUAUUCUAUGACAAAUUAUAGUACUAUAAAACAUUAGUAAUUUACUCGGUUUACUAAGAUUUUCUAACAUCAUUGUGUACUUAAAGCGUAACAAAGUAUUCAAAAUUAUUAAUCCCAAUCGUAUUCAAAGUGUCCAUCCGAUAGACAUGUACUAAUCACAGUCGGUAGUGUUAUUAUUAGUGUACAAAUUAAAUUACUAUAGCACAAUAUUGUGUACAGAUAAUCAAAAUGACAACUGCAAAUGGAAUAUUCCCAUUAUAUAUCAUAAACCGGGUAAAUGCCAUUGUCCAACUCAGCUCUUCAUCAGAGCCAACCUUACAAAUAUCAUGCUCGAUAAGCAUCAUUUUUUUGGAAAUAUGCUUUGGCUGACGAAGCCAUCCUCAUGACCCAUCAGAGUUAUUGAAUCAUGAUGGAUGUGCCAAAAAAAAAAAAAAACAAGAAGUUUUGUCGUCCUAUCUGUUCAUCUUGGAGGUUCAUAUGCACUAAGUAACGCAUAUUGGCAAGUGACAAGAAACUUCCGAGAGCUUUAAUUUGUCCUUUCAAGAAGCUGCAUGAUUAGUUGUAUAUCUUUCGGUACACAGAAUUAUUGUACAAAGAAUAUAAUAAAUAUAGCGUGGUUGGAAGCCUAGCUAUAUAAGAGCGGUGCUGUCUCUAAUUGUUUCAAAUCAAGCAUAGGCAAAGAUGGGUUAUGAAGAUCAAAAGCCUCUCAUUUUCAUGGUUGUUUUGCAGUUUGUGUAUGCAGGAAUUACUCUAUCUACAAGGGCUUCGCUCUUACAGGGAAUGAGUCCCAGAGUUUUUGUGGUUUAUCGGCAAGCCCUAGCCGCUUUGCUUGUAGCUCCUGUGGCAUUUUUCAGGUCAAGGUACAUUUAUGGGAUAUCCAACUUCUUUCUAUUCAUCUUAUGCCAUGAAAUAUAGAAUUUUGAAAUUAGGCCAAAUCUAGCUCUGCUUUGAUUAUUUUAAUUCUUUUUUUUUUCUUUUUGAUUUUGGAGUGCAGGAAAGGAGGAAACACAUGUUCUUUAGGAUGGAAGAACUUCUGGUUAAUAUUUCUAGUUUCUCUUGUCGGGUAAGUUUUAGUUAAAGUAUGAAACUGUAUACAUUCCGGACGGUACAUGUGGCUGAAUACUUGAUUACUUGCCCAUUGAUUUCCUCUGCAGUGUGACGGUGAACCAGAAUAUUUAUUUUGAGGGACUAUACUUGGCGUCAUCAUCAAUAGCAAGUGCAAUGGGGAAUCUACUACCUGCAAUUACUUUUGUUUUGGCAUACAUUGUGGGGUAAUUCCAAAUAAUUCAAGAAUUAAGAAAAGUGUAAUUAAGAAGUUGAUUGUUAAAAUGAUCUACAUCUUUGAAUAUAGACAUUCAUCACGAGAUAACUUAAAGCUUUAAAUGGUUUUUUUUAAUGGCUUUCAUCUUUCUUUUUAUUUUCUUUGAAAUAACUAGAGCUUUAUUUGAGUUUAAGGUGUUUUUAAAAAAAAAAACUUUUUUAUUUUUCUCAAGUCUAGAGCAAUAAACUCUAAAAGUAACUUCAACAACUCUAAAAACACAACAUCUCAAACAGGAGGAGGGAGGAGGGAGAGGGGGGAGGAGGAGGGAGGAAGGAGAAGAGAGGAGGAGGAGGAGAAAGAAGGAGAGAGAGGAGAGAGGAGGGAGGAGAUGAUGGUGGUGGGUGGUGGUCAUAGGUGGUGUAAAUUUUUUUUAAAAAAUAUUUUAAAAAAAUUAUAAAUUCUAAAAAUAUUCCAAAAUACAUUCGAAAAAAUCCCCUAUAAAUACCCUUAAAACAUCCUAAAAACAUUUAUAGUAAAGUUUUUUCAUAUAUAGAGUUACGGUAAGGUUUUUUGAAAAAAUCCCCAAAAACAGCUAAUAAUAGAAAUAACCCAAGAAUAUAUUGUUCUAGUGUUCUUAAUUCAUAUUUUUAUAUUAUCAGACAAGAAAAAAUAAACAUCCGAAGCUUGAGAAGUAAAGCAAAAUUCUUCGGCACGAUCAUAUGUGUUACCGGAGCCAUAAGCAUGGUGUUACUCAAAGGGCCGAAGCUACUUAACAAAGAGUUUCACUCUGAUCCAAUUCAUUCAAUAUUGAGAUUGAGCAAGGGAGGUGAGACUUGGUUGCUUGGUUGUUUACUACUGUUCGCAAGCAAUUGUUGCUGGUCAAUUUGGCUGAUUUUGCAGGUAUACAAGUUCGAACAUUGUUGAGAUCAUAUUAUGUGAAAGUCACUUAAACACGUUAUAUCUUCUCACAGGCACCGGUGUCCAAGAGCUAUCCUGAUCAUUUAUCUCUAACAGCAUGGAUGUGCUUUAUUGCUGCCUGGCAAUCGGCAAUUGUGGCAUUCUUUAUCGAGAAAGACUUAGAUGCUUGGAAAUUACAAACACCUCUGGAACUUGGAUGUCUAUUCUUUUCAGUAAGUGUGAGGUUUGCAUUCAAUUGAAAAAAAAAAUUAUGUUCAUAAAAUUUUACUCUUAGACCACUGAUAAAUUAAUUCUAUUAUAGGCAGGAGCAUCAGCAAUUUCGUUCUUUGCUCAGGCUUGGUGCAUAUGUAAAAGAGGACCACUUUUUUCUGCCAUGUUUAAUCCUUUAUCCACUGUCAUUGUGACCUUUAUCGCCUCCACAUUCUUUCGAGAAGAGCUCUACAUUGGAAGGUAAUACCUCUCGCUGUAAUUUUGAACAUCAUAUAUUGUCAUGGAGGGAAUAUUAGAUGAAUUUGAAUGAAAAACAUGAAGUGUUAGCAUGUUAAAAUCUCAAACAAAUUCGAGUGUACAGAAUUAGUAGCAAUAUAUUCUCUCAGCAUGUUACACAAAAUAAUGUGUUCGAAUUCAAGCACAACAGAACAACUUUGAUUUUAAAUCCAGGCACACAAUAACAUACAUUUGUUAUUUUUUGGGCCCAACCGAAAAUCCCAAAAGGUUGAUUAUAACUCUACCACAUAAGGUUUUAAAAGCAAGUGAUUGGUAGCAAAUAUGAUUGAGAUAUAGAUUGUCUUGAGUUUGGAAUUGGCUGAGAAAACCAGUUUUCUCAUUAGUUCUUACCAAUGCUUUGAUUAUUGUUUGUGAUGGUUUAAUAUGAUAUCAUCUGACAGAAAGACAUCUUUUUCAGCUUGCUCGGUGCAAUUGCUGUAAUAUUUGGACUGUAUAUUGUGCUAUGGGGCAAAGCUAAAGAUCACAUGAUUAACAGCGAUGUAGAAAAGAAGCCAGAGGAGGAAAAAAUUAAUUAUACAAUCGUUGUCGAUGAAUCCACAGACAAAUUGAGUUGUAGAAUCGAUUUGGAAGAACCCCUUUUGCAUAAACAGACAAUAGAUCUCAAAGAUGAUCAGAAACAUUAGUAUUGAUGGGAAAAGUCUGUAUUUCUACAUAAAUGAGGUUCAAUAUUGUGAAGAAGACAGGACUCCUCUUCUAAGAAGAGAUUUUGUAAUUGCGCUUCCGGUUCUAGGCAUUCAUCAUUGGUGUUAUUAGCCUUUAUCCCCCCGGCAAGGGACAACUUGAUUUGAAAUUUCUAAUAAUCAUUUGAGAUAUUUGAUGGGAUCUAUAUACAAAGAGAAUUUCUUUUAGGGAUAACUUCAGAAACCUCAAGGGAGGUUUCUGACAAUUUCACUAAGCUCCUCUAAAGUUUGAAAAAUAAUACUUACCUUCCUUGAUUUGAUAGUUUUAGUAACAAAAUCUUAAAAUAAUAUUGACUUGGACAAUUUUUUAAAUGAAUACUCAAAAAUGCUCUUGUGGAAUGAGUUUUAAUUACUUCUCUACACAAUUAUGAGAUUAUUUAGUAUAAUUAUAAGGAAAAGGUGCCAAAUUUUUCAUGUCUAUAUUUACUAUUUGAUAAACAACUAUAAUAUAAUUUUAUUACUAUGAUAUGAUAUUUUUUAUGGCAUUUUAUUAUGAAUUUAAAUUUAUAAGAUAGAAAAGAAAAUGUUUAAAUAAUUCAUUUGGAGUUUAUAAAUUUUUGGAGUAGUGGUAUUAUCAUAAUUUAGUAGUACUUUUGGGCCAUUUCUUUUUGAUUUAUUGUUAAUUUUAAUACUAAAAACUAGAAAACGAAGAUCAGCAAAAACAUUGGAUUACAUAUAAAAUUACCUCGUCAAAAAAAUCACUAGUUCGACAUUUGGUUAUAGUAGAAACUUAGAGGCAUUAGUGGUAGUUCUACAAUUUUAUUGGCAAAAAAUUUUUAAAAAAAGGAAUAAAAAGGAAAAAGAAUGAAAAAAUAAUUUUAAAACUCAUUCUAAGUAUAAGCAUACCAAAUAAGAGAAUUUCUUUAAAAUAUUUAAGGGUAAAAUUGUCAUUUUAAAUGACAAAAAUGACAAGGGAGGUAUGUGUAAUUUUUCGAACCUUAGGGGAGCUCAGUGACAUUGUUAGAAACCUCAGGGGAGGUUUCUGAAAUUAUCCCUUUCUUUUACCAUGUACAAGUUAUUUUUCUCUUUCUUUCUUUCUUUUUUUUUUGGUUUUUUGGAGAGUCGAGUUGGUCGCUAGAAAAUUCACAAAAUAGUAUCAUCUCAAAAGCAUCAUGUAAAUUCAAAGUUUCUCUUCAAACUUUGUGGUUCAACCAAAUUAGUACAUUUUACAUGUGAAUUAUAUUAAUCAAACUUUCCGCAAAAUUAGGUAUUGACGAUUCAAGUGCCAAUCUCAGCAUAAUGAAGCAUGAACCAUACUAAACGCGCCAUUGUUAUUAACACAAAUUACUCUUGUCAUUCAACCACAGUUGUGCUCUUAUCAUGCUAGAAGUCUACUAAAUGACAUUUUCCAGCUCACUUCUACAUAAGAGCCAACCUCGUUUCUACGAAUGAUCAUGUUCGAUAAGGAUCAUUUCGAAAAGAUCCUGGUCUGACAAAGCCUUCCUGAGAUGAUUCAUUAUCAAUAUUUAUCAUUCAAUGAUGGAUGGCAAAUUGUUUUACUGGCUUACGUUGACCAAGAAACAACAAUUUUUGUCAUCUUUUGUAUAAAUCUUGUAAGUUCAUUUGUAUUGCAUCUGCACAUUAGUUGCUGACAAGAUACUUCAAAAAAAUUUGGUCAUUAUAUAGUUUAAUAAAUUUUGUACAAAGUGUGCCCACCCACAUGCAUGCUUGAAGCUUAUAUACAACAAAAUGUACUCCGACGUCAGUCUUCAUAUGGUCUAACUUUUUCGUAGAAUCUGCAAAAUUGCAAAUAUGGGUUUUGAAGAUCAAAAGCCUCUUAUUGUCAUGGUUAUGUUAGUUUCUCUAUGCAGGAAUCACUUCAUCACUAGAGCUUCCUUGUUACAGGGAACGAGUCCAAGGGUUUUCGCGGUCAGCUAUCUAUAGCCACUUUGCUUGUGGCCCUUGUGGCUCAUUUUAAACAGAGGCGUAUUUAUAGGAAUUUUAAAUCCUUUCUCCUCGUCUCAGAAUGUGAAACAUAAAUUAUGUACUGGAUCAAUUACACGAAAACCUAUAGCCUCUUUGGCUGUUGGGUGGUCAAGUUUCGACCCUUGUCUCCCAACACUUGUUACUAAUAAGUGGUUUCUACAAAUUCAAACGGGUGUGUAGUGCACCCGUCUGAUCCGAUAGUGAUUCAGUCCCCCUUGAUUCCCCCUAAUCUAGCUAGACCCUCCCUUAGAUAGGUUAUAGUGUAGGAGCAAGAGCAGUGUAGAAAGUGAUGAUUGACCCAAAAUAAAAAUUUACACAAAAUUUUUUUUUUUUUUUUUUUGGUUGGGGUUGCCCGGAGUAAGAUAAGUAGAUAUUCUUUAGGAUGGAAGAGGUUGAUAUUUUAAGGACAAAUUCCACUUUGCACCUUUGAACUUAUAUCACUUUCUCACUUUGUACUCUAAACUUCAAUUUUGAACACUUUACACCCUAAACUCUCAAUUUGAGACACUUUACAUGAUAAAUUCUUAAGUUCGUCAUAUUUAAAUCUAGUUAAUAACAACUUUUAAAAAAUUAACUGCAUAGAGGAUCUAACAAAUCAAUGAUAAUGUGCCAAAAGUAAUCAAAAGGUGCCAAGGUAUUAUAGCAAAAAUAAAACAAUACAUUAUCAUUAAUUUGUUUUAUUUUUUUCACUAUCAUUGAUUUGUAUCAUCUUUUAUCUCAUUAAUUUGCUAAUAAUAUUAAUAAUUGAGAUCAUAUAAAUAAAUGAUAAUGUGCUAAACAUGAGCAACAAAGCUAAGGAAUCGUAGUCGAAACAAAACAGGACAUUGUUGUUAAUUUUUAUCGCUCUUUAUCUCAUUAAUUUUGCGAAUAUAAUAGUUGAUUGGACUUAAAUGGAACAACUAUGAGAGUUUAGGGUGAAAAGUGUCCAAAAUUAAAAUUUAGGGCGCAAAGUGAGAAAGUGAUACAAGUUCAGAGGUGUAAAAUCAAAUUAAUCUUAUUUUUAAUAUCCCUCAUUUUGUAAGUUAUUCUCUUUUGAGUAUCUGUGUGUAUGUGGAAGCUAAACUAAUGUGAGUAUCCAAUUGAUUAAGUUUUUCCUCUAUACAUUCCUUGUGCAGAGUAACAUUUAACAAGAAUCUCAAUUUUAAGGGCCUAUAUACAUUUGGCCUCAUCUUCAAUAGCAAGUGCAAUGGUCAAUUUACUUCCUGCAACAACUUUUGCGGCGGCCUACAUUGUCGGGUAACUAUCAAGGAGAUUAAUGCAAAUUUAAAGAGGACUGAGUUUACAUUCAUCAUGAAAAAGUAAAUGAUUCUAUAUACAAUGGAUGAUCUCAUCCCUUUUACUUUUGAUUGCAUAAUUAUUAUGUUAUCUCAAAGCAACAGAAAUCUAUUAGCACAGUAACUUAUAUAAAUUCUUUUGAACUCUUUUUGUCUAUAAUUAUUUCUUAAAUUUCACUCGAAUACCGUACCUUAAUAUAUGUCAAUUACAGAUUAGAGAAAGUGAAUAUCCAAAGCUUCAGGAGUAUAGCCAAGAUCAUCGGAACAAUCAGCUCUGUUGCUGGAGCCAUAAGCAUGCCAUUACUAAAAGGGCCAAGAACUCUAAGCAUGGAGCUUCAGCUAAUGCAUUCGUUAUUCAAAAAGGGAGAUGAGAUAUGGUUGCUUGGUUGUUUCAUCCCCUUAGCAGGCACAAUUUGCCGGUCAGCUUGGCAACUUUUGCAGGUGAAACCACCCGAUAUUUCUCUAUUGGAAUCACACAAUUUGAGAAUCAGUUAACAGUAUAUCCAUAUUUGUGUUGCAUUUUCUCAACAGGUGCCGGUGUCCAAGAGCUAUCCCGAUCAUUUACCCGUAACAGCAUGCAAGGAUGUGCUUCAUGGUUGCCUUGCAAUCUGCAGCUGUCACGUUUUUCACUGAGAAAGAUUUCACAAGCUUGGAAAUUGCACUCACCUUUGGAAAUUGGAUGCCCUUUAUAUACUGUAAGUUUUGUACUUUAAUUUGAUAGUUUCCAUUUUACAACCAUUUUGUAUCGAAGAUAAAUUUGAAAGAGUUCAUCAAUAUUAUACCUGGCUGGAGCACCAGCUCAAUCUUGGUGCAUUUCGAAACGAGGUCCAAUUUUCUGUGCCAUGCCAUGUUUAAUCCCGUAAACAACGUAACUAUCACCAUGUUCCCUUGUACGUUCAUCCACAAAGAGAUUUACUUAGGAAGGUAUUACCUGCAUUGCAAAAAUUGAUUAAUACCUUUUAUUCCUUAAGACUCCAGUGUUCCGAUUUCUUUAUUCUUUGGAUGAUAAAUAAUUGGGAAAAUGAUCGGUUUCAUCCUUCACAUUUCACAAAAAUAUUUUUUUCGUCUCUCACUUUUAAAACGAAGCAAUUUCAUCCUUAACAUUUUAAAACUGAAGUUCUUACGUUCCUGAACCCAAAUUUCAAUCUGAAUCAAACCACCAAUCAACCUGAUUACAAAUUUUGGGAGUGUAAUUAGUAGAUCAUUUGGUUAACUCAACUUGAUAUUCAUGUAAAAUUUAAUGAACCAAAAAAGAAAAAAGAAAAAAUUAUAACAUAAAAAAGAAAGAUUAAUCUUUCCUACAUUAUCAUUGUAUACACUGACGGUUUUAUGAACCGCCAUAUCAUUUCAAUUUAAAUUUAAACACCAAAUUUUAUAUUUAUGAUACACAUCUAGAUUCGCAAGCGGAUAUACUAACGAUGUAUGAAAAGAUUUACCAAAAAAAAAAUCCCCACUAUUCCAAGACAAAGAAUGACCUUUUAUGUUAUAAUUUUUAUUUUUUUGGUUUAAUAAAUGUCAUGUGAAUAUGAUGAAAUUGACCGAGUGAUCUAUCAAUUCUAUUUCCGAAAUUUAUUACUGGGCUAUUGAAUGAUUUGAUUCAGAUUGAAAAUUAGGUUCAGGGAUGUAAUAGUUUUAAUUUUUAAAUGUCAGGGAUGAAUUUGCUUUAUUUUAAAAGUGAGAGACGAAGAGAAUAUUUUUGCGAAAUGUGAAAGAUGAAACAGGUCAUUUUCGCUAAAUAAUUUAUAUAUUUACUCAUAUUGAAUUUUGAAGCCCUUUAAAUUGAUAACUUAUCGGUUCCAUCGGCCUCGAGGAAUUUAUGGCCUCGUUUUCAUGUACCAAAGAAAUAUCUAAAACUAGCUUAUUUUCUAAUCUAAGACGCAACUUUACCACAAUAAGCUAGAAUUUCAUAAUUACGUAUUACUUUUCCAAACAGCUCUUGGAAAAUAUCUUAUACCGAUUUGCCCAAAAUAUCAGUUCCUAGUUUCAUCUGCUGACCAAGUCGAAUUUGAGUUGAAAAAUACUAUUGUUAGCUUGCGAGUCAGUUCGAACUCGAAUAUAUACAUAUAUAUAUAUAUAUAUUAUUUUUUAUUUUAAUAAUAAAAUAACAUAUAUAUCCCUAAUAUUUUAUUAUUUAUUAAGAAAAAUUAUUAUUUUAUUUAUUUAUUAAAAAUAAAAUAUCUAUUUUUUAUCUUUUUAAACUCGAACUCGAAUUUGAGUUUCGUAAAAUUAUGUUGAGCCUCGACUUGAUUAAGUCGAAGUUGUACUCCACGAGUCACCCCUAACUUGGCCUAUACAUUAUGGAGGAAAAGGAAUCUUAGAACAUUUCAAUUGAUUCUUUAUGAAAUUCUUGAGAUAUGUUCGUCAUGCCAAUAGCUGGAUGGAGGAGAAUUCCAAAGACUCGAGAGAAUUGGGAGCUGACUUUACAUUGGAACUUUUCAAUGCAAAUUUUCUGUUGAUUGUAUAGAAUAUAGUGAUUGUGAUCAGUUUUAUUUUCUUUGCUUAGUUGUAUAGAUUCCAGUACUAUGUGGUGACUGUGCAGGUGUCUAUAUUUAACUUUUAUUUUUCUUUGCAUAUUUCUCAAAGCUAAGUAAGUACUAAAUGAUUGUUUUGAGAUGAAACAGUAGAAGGGGAUGGUUGAAAGCCACAUUACACCAACAACAGCACUAACAAAAUUGAGCUACUCUACCAUUCAGUCUAGCCAGCUUUUGAAAUUAAAAAAAAAAAAAAAAAAAAGAAGUCAUCAUAAGAAAGGCCAAAUAUAUUGACUGGCAGGGAACAUUCAAUUGACUCUUGGGUGAUGGUAAUUACUUAUUUCCAUCAAAAAGCAAAAAUUACAUGUACGAUCCCAACCAACAAAACCCACCAACAAUGGUAGGUAUGGAGAGGAGUGAACGACGAAAACCCAGAGAUGAUGGGUCUUUACUCUUUACAGCUUUUCAUUGUUGGUCCUGCAAAUAAUUGGAGAGACAGAAAGGGACGUCGACUUCCAUUAACUCAAAAGGAUAAUUUGAAAUCUGACCCCAGUGUCCGGUGGGCUAUUGCAAAGUCUGGUGGUGAAAGAAGAAAAAAAAAAUCCUUCACCACACAAUUGGGGAUAAAAUCAAUAAGAUGAGAUAGAAGCAAAUGAAUGCAUAAUCAGACUCAGAAACCCAAGGACAAGUGCGAUGCAUCCUAAUCCACCUGACAACCUCAAUUGCCUAGCCCUUAAUAAUAUUUCUGCCACAUGGUAGAACUUUUGGAGUGAUCUGGAUUUUGGUCAAAUUGAAUUUAGCAUCUAAAUUAGGGCUGUCAACGGGCCGGGUCCGAGCCAGAAUUCAUUAUUCCGAACCCGGAUUCGAUCCGUUUACCCGAUGGGUCUUUUAUUCUAUGUUCCGGAUCCGGAUCCGGCAGGUCCCGGAUCCGGAUCGGGUUUACCCGAACAAAUUUAGCAAAAUUUAUAAUUUCUAAUAAAAAUGAGAAAAAAAUAUAUUUAUAAACUAAUUUCUAACUAAUGCAAAGAAAAAACCAAAUAAGAAAAGAAAUCAAAUUGACUUUACUCAAAUACAUCACCCUAAUCAAAUUAUAUUGAUAAAUAUAUAUUUUUUAAAUUAUUAAUUCAUUUAUAUCCGGAUCCGGGUCUAAUACAGGUCGGAAUACUAUAUUCCGUAUCCGACCCGUUUUUUUGUUUGACAAAACGAAUCCGAAUCCGGGAAACGGAAUUAAAUACCUACCUAUACCUGCAAUAAUUUCGCGAAUCCAGGUCUAGAUCCGACCUUUGACAGGCCUAAUCUAAAUCACAAUAGCGUAGACAAUUAACAAACUGCAUAGGACUCAAACUGGAGCCCGCCACAAAAGAAAUCAAAGCUUUAAGCAAAGAGAGGAAUAAGGGCAUAUCUAAAUCAAUGAUUGUUGGCCACUAUAAAAAAACAGUGAGGAGCAACUUACCCUUUUUUUGCAGGUAAUCAAGCAGAAAAAUUUUUUAUUUCUUAAUUAGAAGAAAAGCACCAGAAAACGUGGCAUUAAGAACAGGAAGUCUUUCCUGCAUUAAAGAGAGAAAGAAUGGACAAAAAUCCGACAAAUUUUGAAGGCCAAAACUUUAGAGAUCAAACUCAAGUACGCAGAGCAGAACCUGUUCAGAAGCAGAUCUGAAAAUGGCAGGGAAAUCUGCCAAUGUUUUUGUCAAAGACUGAAAAGUCUAUAUAGAAACUAAGCAUUAACGUAGGAAAUCAAUCAUCCAACAUGGUCUGAAUGAGCAAAAUCAAGCUAUACAUAGAAGCAACUAACAAAUAGGUAGGAAGUUGUAUUGCAUACAUUAUUAGAAAACCAGUUUCAAUCCAAACUCUAAUAUCUACUCAGAUAUGAGCUUGAUCGCUCAAGGGUAGCGCUUCCAUGCAUUAUCCUCCCUGUUGUUUCUGAAUGCGCAGCAUCCUAUAGAGUAUACUAUGAUGAGGAAGACCAGCACUAUAAUAUUCAGAAUGGCCUCCUUCUUCCAAUCACUCUUGAUAUUGUCCAGCAGACCAGCCUUGCAUGAUUGGCAGUUGUAGCAUAGAACUUUCUGAUCAUUACUCCAAGCCGUGCAGUCUGGAUUAGUAGACCCUGCUGUUCCUGUCCAGUUGGUUGGGGUGACAUAGGUGAAUUUGCACUCAUCUGGUGGCUUGCAGCAUCCAGACUGGCAAGAGUAAAUGAACAGAGAAUGAGAGAGACAACAUAAAAACGAUUUAACUGCAAAUGAACUAAUUUCAAUCUAGUCAUAUAUCUGUGAAGAACCUUUCCAAGACAUCGAGUUUAGGCACAGAAGCUGAAAAUUUUACAGAUUCUUUCACAGAAAUUUGAGGCGUGCAACUAGUACAUCAACCAGGAGACGAUUCUCAAAAUCACAAAAGGAACAUCUUAGUUUAUAACAACCUAGCAGUUCAACAAUGUGUCAAAUGUAUUAAAAACAUGCUUCCAAUUCAAAAAUGGAAAAUGCAAUCAAUCCAAAGCAGGACAAUUUAUGAUUUUACAGCAACAAGUUGAAUGCCAUUAUUCUCCUCUGGAGAUACUUGUUUGAACAUGUAUAAUAGCAAAACAAAAAUUGACAGAAUAAGCAAUAGGGUCAAGUAAAUUGAUAUAUCAUUAUUCUUAAAGGCACCACUUUAUGCACCACACCACUUUUUGCAACAAGAAAUAUAUACAAGCAGCAUCACCAAUCUGUCUCAGACAAAAAGCAGAACAUUUUAAGUCGAGAUUCUAGUCAAGUCUCUCAACUUUAGGAAACUACUCAAUAACCAUCAUUCAAAUAUAACAGAUCCAUGGCAGUUAGUGAUUCCAAGUGAAGAUCAAUACCCUUUCUCAAGAAACUUAAAAAAGUAAAAUUACUAUACCAACAAGAACAAACUACUGACACACAGUCCCAGCCCCUAAAGAUAUCUUCCAAUUGAGUAUCCAGAUCUAGAGCGAGGCAGCAAAAACAGAAAACCCCUUCUCCCCUCAAGUGAAAAACUCAAGUUUUAGCUCAAAAAGAAAAAAGAAUGACAACCAUGCAGGUAUGGAGAGCAACAAAAGAUGCAAUACUUAUGAAUCUGUACAUACCUGAAGAGCAGAAAGCGUUUCCUUGUUAAAUUGUCCUAAAGGAGUGGCACCUUGUUCAAUCAGGUGCUUGCAGAUCUGUGAGUCCUGAAGACAACUUCUAAUCCUGGGCCAAUUUUUGUUCACCCUUUUCUGCAACCAAGUGUUGUAAUCCCCAAGCCUGUACUCCUUAUACCCCUUACCUGCAAGGGCCUCACCAGCACCUUUAUUUGUAACCACAAACGCAAAGAUUGUGAAGCAAAAGAGGAGCACAAUCAACAGAAACAUGACCAAAAGGUACACCCAAAGAAGCCAUGAAACUCUGCAACAUGAUCCAAUGAGUCCUGCCAAUGAAACCAACAGCAGAAACGCCCCCAAUACUAUCACUGGCUUUUCAAGAAAACGUUCACAUUCAGUAUUGGACUGCUUUGCUAGCCAAAUCCCACCUGCAAUUAUUGGGAUUGACAACAACAGCGUCAGAAAAUUCAGUAUCCCAAGCAAACUGUUGCUGCAACGUGGCAUUUUCUCUGGUAUUCUUGAAAACGAACCAAAAAUAUCAGUAACUUCUCAAGAAGCCAAGAAGCAAAAGGGGUGAUUAAACUCCAAUAGUUAUGUGCUUCUUAAUGGUGAACGAACCUAGUUAACGGUGAACAGUUUUACCAGUUUUAUAGUAGGAUCCGAUGGAAAAUUGAUCUGGGUUGGAGCUAAGAAAGCGAGAAUCUGGAAAAUAAAAAGGAAGAUAUGAUGAAUGGAACAAAGGGUAAGGGUGGUUAUAUAAUACUGGUGAAGACGGGCCGUUUAAUUGCAUUCUUAGUCCUCUAAGUUAUCAUUCUAGCCCAUGUAUCACGCAGUACCCUAUUGCGUGUAAUAGAUUCAUUAGCAUUCAUUUUACUAUAUAUAUGAUGAUUGAAUUAACUAAGAUUUAAUUUCACAUAAAUUUAUGUCAUCUUUCAUAAAUUGAUUCUAAUUUUUACUUUUUGUUUGCAUAUUUUUUUGUUUGUAGAGUCAAAGAACAUUUUGUGUAAAUUAUUAGUAGUACAACUUUUUGUUUGGUCAAAAGAAUUUAGAUGGAUUAGUCUUGACUCAAAUGGAGUAUCUAUAUUAGCAGGAGCGAAUGAUCAAUUGUGAUUAAUUAUUAUGCAAUCUACACAAGCAUAUAUAUAUAUAUAUAUAUAUGUUCACAAUCAAUAAAAAAAUUAAUCCAAUUUAGAUGCUUACACAUAUUUAAGAGUAGGAAGGAAGGAAGUGGUAUGGUAUCUCUCUAAUUCAAAGCUGAAAGAUGUAGUCCCCUGUGUUUCAAUAGCUACAAUUGUUUGUAGGUUUAAAUUGACAAAAAUGGAGAAGAUGAGAGACUAAGGUAAGAAAACCCAAAAUGUUGGGGUCCCAAAAUCUGUAUGGGGAAAUGUGAAACUCGUGGAGGUUGAGCUGGUCUGGAAUUUGCUAAGGAGUUUCGGAGACGUGUGGCCGUUUCCGAAAAAAUUUCAGCGUCAAGCGAUAAGCCCAGUGCGCCACGUGUGACACGUCGUACUCGCCGUGUGAAUUAAUUGGACAAUCGCAACAAGGAAUCGAAACGGAUGGGAAAGCGUGGGACCAGACUAGCAAUGCCAAAAAGUGUUUUUCUUUUUCUUUAUCUUUUUUGAGCCCAUUAGAAGCCAAAAAUGUAACAAUAAAAAGUUUUGACGCUAUGGUAGACUUGAUCGUUUUGGCUAGUAACUUAUCUUGAAGGAUGAUGUGACUUUUGAUCAAGAACAGGAACAUUAGAAGAUUUCCAAAAUCUUUAAUUUUAAAUGUCCCUCCCCUUUUACCCCAACCAUUAUUGUCUCGAUGGAAGAUGAUUGAAAAAUACUCUUGUUACGAGUGUUUGGAUUAAAAAAAAGAAGAAGAAGAAGUCUUUAUGAUGUGAUGUAUUUUAUGAUUAAAAAAUGGUUAGAAAGAUUUUUUUUUAGAAAAAAAAAAAAGAAAAACAAUGUUUAUUAUGCAUAGGAUUGAAAAAUAAACCAAAUUACAUGAUAUUUGAAUCAAAUUUGACUUAUUAAGAACUCAUUCAAAUUUGGAUCGCCAACUAGUCAAGUUAAGAUUGAACAGCAUUUUAUAUUCGCCAACAUUUAAAUUCGAUAAAAAAAUUAGUUCAAACUCGAUUUGGCAAAAUAAAUAAGUCAAAUUUGCAUAAAAUUUUAAAUUCAUUAAAAUAAUCAAACAAACUUGAAUACUAGGGUGUUCAGUUUGAUUAGACUAGUUUACACCCCUAAUUAUGCAUGUGAAAAAAAUCUUUUUUUUUUUUUUUGCAAAAAAAGAAUAUAUCCAAAAUCUUCUGGUCACUUAAUCUUUGAGACUAAUAUUCAAUGCUGACUGACUCAAUGCAAUUUAUGAUACAAAUUCAAAUAUCCACUUCAUUUUUUUUUUAAAAAAAGGAGUCUUUAUACUUUAAUUGCCUAAUACCUUCUUGAUUGGAUUAAUUUUGGUCUCACUUAGAUUGCAAUUUUUAAAAUUUUUGAAGAAAAAAAAAUAUAUAUAUAUUCUAACAUUGUGAUGUACGAGAUAAAAAGGUAAUUUAAAAUUAUGUCAAACAAAUAUUCCUAGUCAUUGGAAGUUGAUUUUAAAUAGGAGAGAUUCUACAAGAUCACACACACAAGUUAAAUUUAGCAUUAAAUGUGAAAUAAGUGAUGUUAAAUUUCUAUAAUUUCACAACUUUAAAAUUUCAACUGCUAUUAUCAUUAAGGAAUAGAAAUUGAAGAAAUGGUUCCACGAAGGGACCAUACAAUUUCCCAAAGAUUAGUAUCAAAGUAGGUCCUCCAAAAGAAAGAAAAAGAAAUUGUUUAAAGAAGAAAUAAUUGUUUGUAGCCAUAUAUAUAUAUAUAUUUUUUCUUGUUUUUCUCCUAUUUGAGAAAUUGGACGCCGACUUAUAACUUGAAAUCAGGCGAGUCCCGCGCGCCGUGUCCAUCGUUUAGUAAUAAGUACUAUAAUAAAUGAGUAUGAUGAGCUUACUUGGAAUAUUCCAAAGGCAGAGGCAGAGGAUGAUAGUUACUUAAAGCCAAUCAACUCUCUUUCGUCCGUUUGUUUACUCAAAUUCCUUAUCACACGUUAAGAGGCUUCUUUAUAGUCUCGGGGAGUUAGCUUCACAAUCUUGCUGCCAUCCAAACCUUUUGCCCCUUUUUUUUAUUUGUAAAUCUGUUCUCGGAAUUUUCGUACCAACCCUUUCUUUCUUUCUUGGAGCAUUGAGCAGAUACACCAAAAAGAGUGAGUUGUAAGUAAGUAAUGGUUGAAUUGACCAACACAUGUCGCUUUUGCUUAAACCUGAACCAUCAAUAACGCGUAAUUUAAACCAAACUUUUUAAUACUAAUAAUAAUAAUAGACUGAGCCCUUCUUCAUUUUUAGUCCAUUUUAAGAAAUAUUUUAAUACUUAGCUUCAUAAAUCCUCAACUAAUGUAAAUCAAUAUAAGCAUCAUGGACCGAUUCAAAGGAAGAUAGGAAAUUUCCCUUUUUAUUUUUAUUAUUAUUAUUUCCUCAAAUUGGUUGACGGAUAUAAGAAUUACUAAAUAAUAUUUUAUUGUUCAUUAUGUGUGUCAGACGUUUUAGCCAAUUAAAAAGGCAUAAGUUAUUUAUUAUCCCUAAUUUUGGGGUCAACAAUCAAAAAAAAAAUAAAUAAAUAAAUAUAUAUAUAUAUAUAUAUAUAUGUGUGUGUGUGUGUGUGAUUGCACUUUGUUUGUACUGAAUAUAAUAAUUGCAGCAACGGUUACGUGUUUUUUAUGAAUGAAUCAGUACUUGCAACACAAGCACGCUUCUCAAGUUUACAGUUGUUGUACAUUGGAAAUAAAUACACUACCUUAUUGAUCCAUAACGCUGAAACAAAAACCCACAGAUCAGCAUCAGACAAAAGACCAUGCAAAACUCAGCUCCCAAUGCAGAGACAUGAAGACCUAAAGCAGUUUCAAAAUCAAAGGGGCCCUGGGAAAGUCCCAUUCUCCCUCUGCUCGUUCCAUCUCUCAACCUGUAGAAAUGUAGCAGAAACUAGUUAGAAUGCAUUCAAAACUAUGGUAAAAUGGUAGAAUGUUAUCAUCCUAUUGCAUAUGGUAAAAUAGUAGUCAAAGACGUUUAUAUAAUAUAAUAAACAUAAAAAGUGGGAACGCUGGAAAGCCAAUAAAAGAUUUGGUGUUGUACCACUUGGUAAUUCAAAAAGGCCAUCCCCAUCAGCCAUUUAAUAUAUCUCCCUCAAACAACUAGAGGUUUUCCAUACGCCAUUACUAGAGGUGUCAAGAAGAUAAAACGGGCUGCACAGAAAUUCACAUGAGAGUUGCAAGCAACUUCAAGCUCACAAUCCAAAACUUACUCCGAAAGGAACUAAAACAGAUAGUCAAACAUAAAAGAAAAACCAUAGCUGUUUUUGUUAAUAACGAUUAAGUUUUAACUAUGAUGUCAUGUCACCACCCAAUUCCCGUGUAACAUAAAGGAGCAAUAGUUUCCAAUUGCAAUGCCAUCUCAAGCAGAAUCACACAUGAAAUGGGACUUUUUAUGAGGACAACAGUGCUCAUAUCUGACCUUUUGAAGAGGACUGCUGUCCCCCAAGCCUAUGACAAUCAAUACCAACAUUCAACAGGUAAAAGCAAUUCUACAUAUAUAUAUAUAUAUAUAUAUAUACUUACUUACCCAUUCACCAGGACAGAGGGACCUAUAGUACUUGGCAAAUUUUUCACAUUCUCCAGAAUCAUCACCCUUGGCAGCCAAGCACCUGAAAUCCAAAAAAGUGUUGAAUCUGUGUAAACCAAAUCAUUAUGAUAGACCAACAAAAGCUUUACUGUGCUCUAAAGAGAAAACCAGGCAAGAGUAAAACCUAUAUCAAUUACAUAUUCAACCGAUAGAAAAUCAUCUUGAGUACCAAGAUAAAUAUUUCUGUACUCACUCUUUUCUUUUUCCCCCCCAAACAUCAAACCCUAUUCAUGAGCUUCUAGAUUUAAAAUGUUAGGGAGUAGUAAUCUAGUCAAGUAAAAAUAUUUUAACUUAAUCAGGCACUUUCAAAAGAUAUUUGCCUAAAGGUUUCAGCCUACACCUUCUUAACAAACACAAAACUAACUUAAGAUUUCUCUUUCAACAACUGAGGGCUAGAAUCAAAACUACACAUUACAAUACUUAUAAGAACAAUCAACUGGCUUAAGAUGAGUACCAAGUUAUGAUGCGAUUUCUGUUUGCCACCUUUAAUCUAACAAAAAAAAAAAAAAAAAUCACCCAUGCAUUUGAAAAAAACUUCUACCAUUGCCGAAUUUUGAAUUUGGCUAACUAAACCAACAUAGGGGCAUUAAUACCGUCUCAAGACACCUAAAAUGCAAGAUAAGUUCAUCAAUCAAAACUACGUAAGUUCAAUGGUUUUACCGGAGUUGUUCCAUGACACAGAAAAAAAAUUGGUUUCUAUGACACACUAUUAAGCAAUCAACAGCCACUCAUAUGUAACAAAGUCCAAUGACCAGAAAAGCCUUAUGCAGCCACAACUGACAGAGCAUGUCCUUUUAAGAUAAUUGGUUUUAUGGCAUAUUAUUCAACAACCACUGGUGUGUAACUAGUCCAAUACCCAGAGAUGCCUCAUGCAGCCAAAACUGAUAGACCAUUACCUGUGGAACUCAAUGUAGCGUGUGAAACAGUGUCUAGUUUGAUUAGUUGUUGGGAAUCGGAAGUCAGCUGGUGCAGUCUUCAGUUCAAUCUGACAAUAUUAGCAUACAAAUAUUACUAAGAAGAGUGUAAGACAACUGUUCAACACUAAAUUGCGUCUUCCGCUUUCUCAUCAUAAAUCACACACUUAAUUCACUACAUAAAAUGAAAAGGAAAACUAUCAAAAGUUCAGAGAAGCAAACAUUGUCACUUUAGAAAAAAGGUGAACAAGAAAAGUAUUUUAACAAGUUACUUAAUAGUUAAAAUAUUGAAUAAGCAUGUUUCCACUUAAGACGGCGUUCUCCUCCAUCAUGCUUAGAUUUCAUUGUAAUAUUUCCCAAGACAUCAUAUCCUACCAGAAUUCCAAUAGUUUCGAGGCAGGAGACAUCCACAGCAAGAAUACAUAGUUUUGACCCGAUUGUAAUUAUGAGCUAAAUCAUGCUUUGCAUGCUAAGAAGCUCUAGCCUAGGCACAGAUAAAACAUCUUUUCUCAGAAUUAAAAUUUCAACACAUCAUAAUCAUGAGAUAGAAGACAUUAAGCGUGUUCAGAACUAAGGCUUUCAACAAAACUGGAUGCACUUCCAUGCUUUUUUGAAUAAGAAUGUCCAAUUGAUAAAGAAAGAAUUUUUUGAACAGGCAACUUUCAAAGAAUGAAUCAAUAAAAUCACAACCUCAAGAAAACCUAAUUCCUGCAUAUGACAGUUCUAUUCUGAAAUCAAAAAGAAGGAAAAAAAAUUCACUCUUGAGGCUAAAGGACAGGCCCUCAGGCAUUAAAGGUCAGACGAAAGAAAAAUUGUUUGUGUCUAUUGUGGCAAAUGAAAAAUACUUUAGCAGCAGACCUCACACACUCUGACAUGAGAUAAGCACCUCACACACUGUGAAAUGAGAUACUAUUUGGCCCAAAGGACUAGAAAUAAAAGUGCAUUUACACAAAGGGCCAGCUAUGGCUCCCUUUAGCUGUCAACAAGACUAGAUAAAGAAAACAUUUUACAAUUGAGUCAAGAAAAGUAAACCACAAUUUACGUUCUCUUUCUAUAAACAACUAUUUGGCUAAAAAAAAUUAACAAAUAUAAACCACAACCAACAUGCUCUAUGAUGAGCAACCAUUUGGCCAAAUAAUUAAUAAGUAGACCAUCUGGAAAUGAAUAAAGCCUAGGUAUCGGAACCAGUAACUUAAAAGAGCAGGCAAGGAUAUAGAGAUCCCCAGAGUAAUAUUCCAAGAAGGUAGAUUUCUUCUCUCAGUCUGUACUAAAGAAGAAAGUCUACUUCAAUCCUUAUAUCACCAUGAAAAGAGAAGGGGGAGUCAACACCAAACUAUGUCACCUUAUAGGGAUUUUAGGCUGGAUUUUGAAUUUUAAUCUGCUUAGUAUCCUCAUAGUCAUGAGAGAACUUAAACUAUGAAAGCUCUUGCUUGGCUAUUGGAGAAAGUGGGAAAGAAGGCAUUCUGUCUCUUGGUAUGGAACCCCACAUUCACCUGUAAUCUGAAACAUUUUCAAGUAUGACAAUUAAAAUACAGAGCUUUGAGAGCAUAGAGAACCAAUAUGGGAUUAGCUACAACAACCCAAUUUUCCAUCAGCAUUAGGAGUACACAAUUCUUCCCUUCAUGUAUGGAUACUCAUAAGAAAAUCUUCCUGACUUGAUAUAUUAUACAGAUGGAACAUUGGGGGCACCCGUGGAUGGGGUUUUCUUGUUUUUUUCGUUGGGGGGGAGCACAAAGAAAAGAAGGAAAGAAAUAUUAAAAAGUUUACAAAGAGAAAGAAGGAAAACAAGUCUUUUAGUAAUUUCCCAUAUCAUAUCUCAAAUUCCAAACAUCCACGUAGCAGGACAUUUCCCUUUCCUCAAUAAAUUUACUAUCAAAGGAAACCCAAACUAAAUAAAGGCACAAACUUUUCUCUAAGAAAAACAUAAAAGCAAAUGUGCACAACAUCCAACUAACUCUAUGGUUUUGUUAUAAAAACAACUCCAUCAUCCUUUCAUACAGCUGCUUGCUUUCAACAAGAGUCCGUUCAGAUUUGAUAGCAAUGUAUUUCUUUACAAAUACUUUGCUUUUAGGCCUCACUAGGUUUAAACUUUUCAGAAAAGCUAUACCAACAAUCACUUUUUAAUACCUCUCAAUAUCAGCAAAAUUCAGUACAUUUCACGUUAAAAGAAAGCACUGCACCUUUUCUGAAGCUGUCUAUUUAUACUUCCCCUACAAUCAUUGGAAAUUUAUUCUACCAUGAAAUUAAACCCCUAGCACUCCAAAAUGGUUCUUGACAACAAGAAAUUUGGGCUCAUCUCUCACCAAGGCUUGACAAGGCACAAUAUGGCAAUCCAAUCCCAAAAAUUCCAACUUUCUCGAAAAAACUAAAUAAAAAUCCACUGCUUGACGUAAUACUGGAUAUUGAAAGAUAACACUUCAACAAGAACAUCUACUGAAUAUCUUUCCAACAAGAAGCUGAAAACCCACGAUCAUAUAUUGCAUAAAAGCUAACAUCUUGUUGAAAUUCCUAACCACACCCAUCUUAGAAGCAACUAUACCAUAGCUGCAACUUUGCCCCCUGGUAGGCAUGAAUGCCAACCAUCAUUUGCUUUUCCUCUUUAAUUCUGAACCAUAUAAGUUCUAUAACUAGAUUCAAAACCAAUUUCUUCUGUGUUAAAACUGAAUGCCAACACCGCACUCUUUUAGUUCCCAAUUUAAAAUACCCAUUAACCAAUGCCUUUUACUGAUUAAUUCAACCAUAAAUCUCCAUAAAAUCAUUCAUUUCUUGGAUCUCUUGCACAUUGUUUUAUACUAGCUUUUCACCCCGAAUUUCCUUCACACUUAAACCAUAUUUUCACAAUGUUCUGCCAAUAAAAUACAUGCAAAGAUAACAGAAAAUACAUUGACUGAGUGGGAUAUAUAUACAUAACCACGUUGUAUGAGUCCAUUGUGUACAGAACCGGCAAUUGAAUCAAAUCAUUAACAGAUCACAUAAAAAGGAUAAUGUACAUAAUCUCAUCAGCAAUCAAUUAAGACGAAAUUGAAACCACAAUAAAACAAAGGUAGAAAAUCAUAGACUAAAAUCCCUUAAAAAUUAAUGGAUUAAUUUCAUUAAUUUCAGUUUACCUCAGCCAUUUGACGAGACGGGAUCGAUCGAAAAUGAUGUGAAAAUGAGACAGAGCACUUUCUUCUGGUCGGCGGGAGAGAGUGUUGGAAACUAAAAUUGUUCACGUUUUGUUUCAGUGAUUAGUAGUUGUAGAAUUAGCUUAGAUUAGUUUGCAACCCUUAAUAUUUUCUUAGUUUUUACUGUUCACCCUUCACCUUUUAGUUUUUGACACAUAGCCCCCAACUGUCUUACAAAAGCUCUGGUAAAAAUUUUUUUUUUUUUCCCAAAAUAAGAUUACAUAUACCUUACAACUGCAAGAUCAGUACAACAAAUUAGUUGUCAUUUAAUUUAGAGAAAUGCCAAACUAGAAAUAGAGCAAUCUCAUAAUUAACUUGUAUACAACUUAUACACUUAAUUUAAUUUAAUGGAAAAGGCAUUCUUCAUGCGUUUGUUCAAGAAAAGUAAAUCAUUAGGGAAAAGAGCAAAAAGAAAAUGAGAAGGCAAAGGUGAUUUAUGCAUUAUUCCUUGGUUGGCAGUUUUUUUUUUUUUUUAAGUCACAAGUAUAUAAGUAGAAUUUUCAAAACUAUGACAAACGGGUCAUAUUGAAUCUCUUGCUCCCAAUUUAUGCAUAGGAAAAUAGUUCUUGAAAUACAGUUAGCUCCAAAUAUAGUAGGGACUAAUGAGCGCUGAUUUUAAAUGUAAGGGAAUAAGUGGUUAAGAAAAAUUAAGACUACGCGUGGGUAAAAAUUGAAGAUAUAUUAGAAGUAUCAACCAAACGUGUUUAUUUUGCAUGUUGGAGAUACACAACUCUAGACUUUUUAGCCAAUUUCCUAAUGUGUGGAUUUUUUGGUAUGAAGUUAUAAGGAUGGGAAAAUUUGGAGAUUAGUUAUUGUUUUUGAUAAUUGAUGAACAACAAAAAGGUAAAAGAGUGAUAAACCACAUAAAUAUGAGGAAAUUAUAAUGGUAAACGCAAAAUUAGGAGGAAAACUUAUAAUUCAGCUUUCUCUGAUCAAUUAACUGUCUAUUUUAGGUAGCAUAUCUUUUAUUCUUGCUCCCACAAAAAAAAAAAUUUUUUGUUGUAGAAUAGCUCUAAUUCUCAUUACUUAAAUCUUGCCAAAUCCCUAUAACACAUAUAUUUAAAAUAUCAUACCUCUAUACUUUUUCUCAUAAGUUGUAAUGAUAUACCUCUUCGAGUAUUCCUAUCUUCCACAUGUUUAGGUGAAAUUUCUCUGAUAGGCUUCGGCUUUCCCCGUUUAAUAGGUCUCCAUAUUUAAGAGGAAGUUUGGGUUUUAUGUUGUUAGAAUUUCAAUUUUUGCUAUUCAUUCUCUUAAAAGAACUUAAAUAACCUAUUAACGAUAAUUUUUAAUGCUUUUAGUUUACAAGAAGAUGAUAGCUAACAAGUAGCAGCAUGUUCUUCAACUAAUGAUCAAAUUACGAGACAGUGAUACUUUAUUACAAGGUACUACUACAUAAGUAGAUGUGUUAUUGCUGUUUCUAAAAAUUGAUAUGGAGUUCAGGUUAGUGAAACCCUGUACGUCUGUCCACCGAUGCAAAAGUUCAAAGGUGUCUCUAAACCAGAGUUUUCUUUUGUACACUCUCUCUUUUUUCUUCUGAUCAAUAAAAGCAUGAAAGUUUACGUGUAAAAAAAAAGUUUUUAUUACAUGUCAAAUAUCUUUAUGAUGAGUAAACCCGACAUGCUUAUUUACUCAUCCCCAAACUACCAAUCCUAAAAUGUCUCAACCCCCGAAAAAUUGCAGUUGAAUUCGCAUCACCUAAAAAAUAGUAGACAGCCUCUUUCGUGCACGUUGACUGACUAAGUAAAAUGCUAAAAGAGAGAGAAAAGGAAGAAAUGUUCAACAGAGUCCAGUAAUAAUACUUCAUAAAACCACUUUCAUUGAUUUGUAAACCAUCUUGGAAAGACCAUUGUUGUUCCAUACUGCAUAUUUGCUCAUGGCUGAGAAUUCUGCUCCCCCAGAAGAAGUUGUAGUGCCUGUUCCAGAAGAAAAAAAUGAAGCCAAAGAAAAAGAAGUCGCAGUGACUAUUCCUGAAGCAAAAAAUGAAGCCGAAGAAAAAGAAGUUGCAGUGCUUAUUUCUGAAGCAAAAAAUGAAGCCAAAGAAAAAGAAGCUAAAGAAAUCCCUGAUGAUACUACCACCACUGCUGCUGCUGCCACUACUAAUACUAGUGUGGCAGCUAAAACAGAUAAAAUGAAGAUUAUUGUGCUUUCAUUAACCGUACUUUCAUUUCUUCUUUCCUUCCCAAUCCUCUUUUCAAUCGCUUGGUUGCUAUACUUGAGACAAUAUGACUGUGAAAACCUUCUUGACUUGCCAAAGUUACAACUUGUGAUUGUCAUUGGUCUAGCAAUUGUCUUCUUUGUGAGCAACUUUGUAGUGAAAUUUGGAAGCCGGUUUCCUAUGCUUGGACUUCUCUUAGUUGUGGUGCCACUGAUUUUGAUGCUGAUUGUUGGUCUUGGACUUGAGGGUGCUUUUGACAUGGAAGCUCGUACCAUACCCGGUACUCCUAGAUGGCUUGAGUUCAGGGUGGAUAAUGACUACAAUUGGAAGGAUAUCAAAUCCUGCUUGUAUGCUACAACGACAUGUAGAGAGUUGGCGUUAAGGUCUUAUACCACCAAAUCCUUUGACUUCACAGCAAGCAAAUUAUCAUCGAUUGAGGUACUAAGCUAAUAAAAAUGUCACAUGAAAUAGUAUACGUGUGCUUGAGUAGACAUUACAGACAAAGAAUUUUUUUGCUGGUCGAAUAUAUAUAUAGGUAUAUGUAAAAUAUAAAUCACUAGUUUUGCAUAUGGCAUAUCCUAAAAACAUGUUGAAUGCUAUUGGCUUAGUAUUGGCUUAGUAUUCUACAUUAGCAGAAUACUUCUUUUUCAAUGGUUCAUACACAUGUUAUUAGGCAGUGUUUGAUACUUUAAUUCAACCAACAACUUAAAAAAAAAAAAAAUUAUGAUCGAAUUUUUUUCAAUAAAUAGUGUGCUUAGUUUGAGUGAUUUGUGUUUUCUUUGGUCAUAUCACUUCUACAAUUGCACCUCUAUUUACAUUUUACAUUUACUCACUGGACUAUUUUUUACAUUGGCGCAAUUGUCUAGUCUGGUUGUUGUCUGCCGCCAACAAGCUGUGGAAUGGAAUACGUGAAUGCCACAUUCUGGAGGAAAGAAGAUUCAACACUGGAUUCGUCUAACCCAUUGGAAAGGGAUUGUGAUCUAUGGAAGAAUGAUGAAACCAUUUUGUGCUACAACUGCCAAGCCUGUAAAGAUGGAUUUCUCAAACCAUUACUUGGUAAAUGGCAGAACAUUGGGACCUUCCUCAUUGUCAUGGCUGCUCUGCUUUCAGCCUCGCAUCUGUUGCUUUUUAUUUCUACAAUGUUGGAGCAACUUCGAGGAUACCAUAAAAGCAAAUUAAUCGCACUUUCAUUUUAACUGACUAAGAGUUAUUAGAUGAGGUUUUGGAUUUGCAAGCUAUUUCAUCCUUUGUUCUUGACUUUGUUGUACGUCUUUUUCGUGUAUAAUCGGGAACAUCUUUGAUGCUAUGGUCAUCCUCUGACAAAAGCAGAAGUUACCAUUUUUUUCAUGCUAUCAAGCUCUUCUUUGAUUGUCAUAUGGGCAAAAGUAUGUUUUGGUUUAUAUACCACGAAUUUUUAAGGAGUAGUAAGUUGUCAUUUCUGGAACUCCAAAAUCUUGGUUUCAUCAGGCAAAUCACACUGACUAAUUAGGAGUGGUCAGUUAUAAAACCUCCACCAUUAGGUGCCAAUGCGACAAAUUUGUUUUAUCAUACACAAGCCAAUUAUCCUUAUUAAGCUUUACCAAAACCAAAACUCUCCACCUCCCAUCCUGAAUUCAUGCACGGUGCAGACUAGGAUGAAACAAGAUGCAAGGAAAACCACAGGAUUGAAGAGACUGCAUCUCUUCUGAGUAUUCAAUGACAUGAAUAUCAGCAUCCAUGGGCGUCUCUUGAUUGAUAAGCACUUUCUUCAAGGUGAUUAAUAUAUUCCUUGCUAUUUUCCAAUCCCAAACCUUAUUAUGCCCCAACCUAACUCCAAGAGAGGGAGACCAAGCGGGAGAAUAGAAGGGAGGAGACAUAAGUCAAAAUAAACUACACAAACAUAUCUGGACUGCAAAAGGACAAUAAAAGAGGAAAGCUAUAUUAUACAGAAGCUAACAACAUGCUACAAUUCUUGUAGUAAAAUUUGGCUAAAGCCAUGAAACAGGUUACGAUAACUUACAAGGAAUUCUCAGAGCUAACGAGUACAAGCCUACAAGCUAGUAUUUGGUAAAUCAUCAACACAAGAUUCUACUAAGUUGCAUACGAAGGGACCCCAGGAUCCAGUUUUGGCUGAUACAUUCACCUCCGAGCAUGCGAGGCAUCAU
rnacentral:lncRNA from 1 species